rnacentral:lncRNA from 1 species
UUUUACCAUCUUCAAACCAGAUGUCAGAGGAUCAUUGGCCAAACAUAGUCAUGUGACAAAAAAUCAUCUCCAACCGAUAGUCAAAGAACUAUAGUAUGGAAUGUGAAGAAUUAAAAUAAAAUGAGGUAAGAUAGUAUGAAAUUGUGAAAAAUAUGUGAGAAAUGAUGUAGGAAAAAAUUAGAAAUUAAGAAGAAAAAAAAAAAGUGGGGUGGGAUUAAAAAAAGAAAAGUGGGCAAGGACAAAAAAAAUCAUAAACCCUAAAGCCUAAAGUGGGUUGGGCAAAUGGAAAAGAACAAAACAUAAAAAAAAAUUAGGCUAGCCAGCGAGCUGGCUGGCUAAAGAUGGUCAGCCGAUUGGUCAUUUGACACUUUUUUAUCCCGUAAUGCCCACGAGCACUUUGGCUUAAUCUUCAGUUUGAAACGGUUUUCGGAUUAUUUUCGGCACUUUAACUUUCUGAACCAUUCGGUUGAAGAUGAUCUAAACAACGUAAUUAACCGAAAUAAUAAAUACUUAGGAUGAUUUUUUUUUUCUCUCUUUCUAAAAAGGUGAACACCUGUGCACGUGGCCAUCUAAAGAAUUGUAUUCAGUUCUCAAAAAAAAAAAAAGAAUUGUAUUCAUGAUUUGUUGUUAGGAAGAAGAGAUUUUCAGGUGUGAGUGGAAUAUAGAGUAGUACAUCACGUAUUAUUAUACAAAUGAUAUAAUAUGUGUAUUAAAAAGUUAAUAAAUUGAAAAAUAAAAUUUUCCACCACUUAUAUAAAAACACGUGGUGUACCACUUGUGUUUCGGUUAUAAUGAGAAAUUUCUCAAUCUGGUUGGUAAGGCCUUGUACUGUAGGCCUGUAUUCAAUUCUGCGCACCCGUGACAUGCUCGCGUUUAUGAUUUCUUGUUUUCUAUAGGAAAUAAUUAUGUUCUACAAAAUACAGACACCAAUUGGUUAUGUCAUUGUCACCCACUUACUCUUUUUCUUUCUGUUUAGUGUUCUUUAUUUCCAAGAGAAUUAAACAACAUUUGUCGCUUUUAUCACGUGAUUAAUUGUCACAUCCCGAUAUGGGGCAGACCACUUUCCGAGCCCGCUCCACCACCGUAGCACGAUAUUGUCCACUUUGGGUUUACCAUUCCCUCACGGUUUUGUUUUUGGAAACUCACGAGCAACUUCCCAGUGAGUCACCCAUCCUGGGAGUGCUCUGGCCUUCUUCUCGCUUAACUUCGGAGUUCCUACGGAACUCGAAGCCAGUUAGCUCUCAAAAGACCUCGUGCUAGGUAGGGAUGGGAAUAUACAUUUAAGGAUCACUCCUCUAGGCGAUGUGGGAUGUUACAAUCCACCCCCCUUAGGGGCCCGACGUUCUCGUCGGCACACUUCCGGCCAAGGAUUGGCUCUGAUACCAUUUGUCACAUCCCGGCCCGGGACAGACCACUACCCGGGCCCGCUCCACCACCGUAGCACGAUAUUGUCCGCUUUGAGCUUACCAUUCCCUCACGGUUUUGUUUUUGGGAACUCACGAGCAACUUCCCAGUGGGUCACCCAUCCUGGGAGUGCUCUGGCCUUCUUCUCGCUUAACUUCGGAGUUCCUACGGAACCCGAAGCCAGUGAGCUCCCAAAAAGCCUCGUGCUAUGUAGGGAUGGGAAUAUACAUUUAAAGAUCACUCCCCUAGACGAUGUGGGAUGUUACAUUAAUAACCAAGAAUGAGAACAAAGGAACUAAAAUUGAACUCGAAAGUGAUUUGAGUGUGCAUGAAGCAUUUUAAGUUUUUAGUAAUAGAAAUUAGAAAUAGAUAUACAUUCAAAAUCAGUAAUCAAAAUUUGUACCGAUGGAGAAUCUAGUAUUUGAAUAUAGCGAAUUAACAUUUCGAUUACAGACAUCAAACAAGAUGCGAGUUUAUAGUAUAUGUUAUUUUAUGGCGGUCUAGGUAUAAUGGUACAUGCAGUCUAAUGGUAUGAAAUCUAUGUAAAAUCUAACUGUUAAUUUUUCAAACCUUUUUUGAAUUUUUAUUUUUUAUUUGGAUAUUUUAACCAAAUAUACAUUAGGUAAAGACAAGUUAAUGUAUGGGAAAGGAUUAUAUGUCUCCAAAAUUCACAAAUAUAACGAAUUUAUUUAAAUAAGCAGAUUUUCUUUUUUCUUUUUUCUUUUUUUUGGCUCUGGGCUGGGCCUCUGGCUAUGAUAAUUUAUUGGCGGGAACGAGAGCUCCACUGUCAACACCGCACUGCUCAAGUUCUUCACUCUAUAACUCCACGAGUACGCCGCGAAGCUCCCCACCCCCUCGUAUAUGUCAAUCCGAGUGACAUUCGCCGUUGAUUAAAAUGUCGAACACUCUCUGCCCCGCCUCUGUCACUCCCGGAUCGAUUUCCACGAAAUGUAGCCGCAAGAAGUAGUCCAGCUCCGCGUCCACCGGUAAUUCGUACACUAUGACUCCUACCCCAUCGACAAACGCCGCCGAUUGGUACAGUUUGGCCGGGAAAUAGUUCGGGGCUUGAUCGACGUCGGAAAUCGAAUUUAUCGUGAUAACGGAUCGGACUGAGGAUCGGCGCCGGUGGACCGAAUAGGUCGGUGUCGUUGGUGAAGCCGGGGCCAAACGGAUCGGCGCCGCAGGAGAACCGCCCGUAGUUUACGAGGAUGUAGUUUUGGCCGAUGGAAACGCCGUCGUAUGAGGUCUCGUCGACCCGAACGAGCAUGAGAGAUCCGAUUACGGGAGCGUCAUUGGCAAUGCUGUGGAAGCAGACAUCGGCGUUGGAGUCGGCGACGAAAGCGAAUAAAUCCGAGUAUGCGCCGGUUCGGGCGAGGUCAUCGGGCAAAGGGGAGCUUCAGGAAAAGAUGACAGUGCCCACGACGGAGACGUCGAAGGAGGGGGAGUGGGAUUCGCCAUCGUAGUUGUCGUACACGGUGAAUGUGCGGAUGAAGUAUCGGCCGGGGGACAAAUUGGGGAUGGCGUAGCAGUUUUUUCGCUGGAGGAGAGGGGAAAGUAGCAGAGGGUCUUCUCGUGGGUUUGGCGGAAUCGGAGGGGUUCGGAGACGGGGGAGAUAGCGCCGCCGGUGAAUAAGCCUUCGGAGAGCCGGGUGGUGUUGAAUGAGUCGAUGGAAACUGAGAGGCUACCGCAAUCUAUCCGGUAGGAGCGCCCUGUGACCAGGCCCGGCCCAGGCCCAGUGCCACAAGGACAACUGUCCAGGGCCCAAAACUAAAGGGGGCACCAACAAAAAUAACCCAAAUUACUAAGUAUUAAAAAAAUAAAAAAUAAAGGUCCAAAGCCCAGAUAGGGCUGCCGGCUGGAGGGCAAGAGCCCAAGGUAGGUUUAAAAAGGACCACGUCCAGGGCUUCACAAAAAAAAAAAAAAAAAAAAGUAAUACAAAACAACAUUAAAGGACCACUCGGUCCCCAAAAACCCUAUACCUAUUCCCAUAUCCCCACUCCCCCUUUCCUAAUAUUUCCCUCCCUGCUGCCGUCUGACCUUCUGCUCCCCUUCACAGUCGACAGUCCAGUCCAGAACCUGUCCCUCCUCCUCAGUUGCUCCUGCAAGUGCAAGUGCCAAAAGCAUUCACUCACCACCAAUCAUUUUGAGUUUUGAGGUAAAUUAAUUUUUAAAAUUUGACUUAUCAAUUCAUAAUUUAAUAUAAAAUUUUGCAAAUGAUAUAGAAUUAUAUGAUAAUUGAUGUAUAGAAUUGUUGUUGUUGAUGAAUUGAAUUAUUUGAUUUCAUUUCAAACCAAAUUUUUAGGUUUAAUUUUUAUAAUAUAUUAGACUAUAUGUUUGUAUUUUUAUAAUAUAUAAUAUGUGUUAGAAUGAUAAUUUUGAUAGGAAAUUUUUGUUAUAUCAUGUGUAGGUAAUUUUUGCAAACAAAUUAUCGAAGCCAUGUCUUUUAGGAAACAACUCUCUGGUAAUAUGAAAAGGAAAAAAAAGGCAAAGGAUAACGAAAUUGCCGAAAGUUUAAGAGGAUCUCUUCAUAAAUUUUUCUCUACAAAAAAUGAGUCAGUUGAAAAUUUUGAGAGAAAAUAAUGUUGUGUGAAGAGUCACAAAAUGUUGUUGGGGAGUCUCAUGAUCAUGAAAAUAAUAGUGAUUUAGAAGAAAAUGUUGGUGAUAAGUCUCAAGACCAUGAAAAUGGUGGUGGUGGUGAUGUGAAUUUAAAUGUUGAUGGUGAUGAUAUUGGUGUAGAGGAAAAUAUUGAAUCUCCUGCACCUAUUUUCCAUUUAAACAUUUAUGAUCCAAGAGUUUGGGAUGGUCUUAAUGUAGAAAUGAGAGACUUACUUGUAGAAAAGGGACCAAUUUGAGAAACUAAUAUCAUUUAUCCUAAGGACAAACUCUGUAGAAAAUUUUCCUCACACUACUAUGAUCGAAAAUUACCAACGGGUGAAAUUUAUGAUAGGAAAUGGCUCGUGUACUCAAAAGAGUUGGAUAAAGUCUUUUGCGUUUGUUGUAAAUUGUUUAAAACAAUUGCCUCAAAAAGUGAGUUAGCAAAAGAUGGAAUUAGUGAUUGGAGACAUCUUGGUGUGAAGCUUGAUCAACAUGAAAAGAGUAAAGAGCAUCUCAUUAAUUCGAGAACUUAGGUUGAGUUGAAAAGUAGAUUGACAAAAAAUCAGACAAUUGAUAAAGAAUUUCAAUUGCGAAUCAAGAAAGAGACAAAUCAUUGGAAACAAGUGAUGCUUAGAAUUAUUGCUGUUGUGAAAUGUCUUGCCAUACAUAAUUUAGCAUUUCGUGGAACAAAUGAAAGACCUUAUGAAGACUCUAAUGGCAAUUUCUUAGGUUUACUUGAAAUGAUUGCAGAGUUUGAUCCAAUAAUGCAAAAGCAUUUUCGACUUAUUGAGAAUAAAGAGAUUCAUCACCACUGAGAUUCAUCACCACUAUUCCAGCCCUCGUUAAAUUUUUUUGUUUUAAACAUAUUUUUCAGUAUUAAAAAAGGGCACAUUUUGAGUUUUCGCACCGGGCAUCCAAAAACUCAGGACCGGCCCUGCCUGUGACACAAGAAAGUUAAGACAGUUGGGUGACAGUUAAGACAGUCGGGCUGGUUUGGCUGGCGGGAAAACCCAAAAUUAAUAGUUACUGUGUGUGACUGUGGAUGGGGGAGACUGUUACCGUCUGGAUAUGAAGGAGGAGAGGAGGAGGAGGAGGAGGAGGCGGUGGAGGUGAAUGUUGAGGAGAGGAAGAAGAUUGAGAGACGAAAGAGGAAGAAGACUGCCGCCAUUAUUUUUGCGUUUUAGGUGGGAGUGUGAAUUUUUAUGGCUAUAACUAAUAACGAAUUAAUAAAAUUAGAAAAAACAAUAUUUACACACUUCUUAUUUCUUUUUAAGCGCUCUUAUUUGUUUUUUAUCAGAUUUUUUUCCGAAUGUACGUGCGAAAAUCACUUGUGAAAAAAUUAUUAAGACAUAAGAGUUGAGGAUCCUAAGCCUGCAUAAAAGGCCACCCUUCCCACGAGAUAAUGGGCAGGUGGCAAGCAGGAAAAGCGUGAUAUCUUAUGGGCUUUUUUUAUUUUUUUUUUUUUUUUUUUGAGGAUUAAGAUGGGCUCAAAGAGGUGGGAGUCAAAUUUAGCCAAUGGGUGGCUUGAUUAAAAUCAUGAUUUUUGGGUGUCCAUUUUUCAAUUUGUGUAUUGGGUGCCAUGUUUAUGGGAUUGAGAUCAUCUCUGGACCUCAAAUUCUAGACCGACGAAUUCAGCAAUUUGAACCAUGAGAGAGAGAGAGAGAGAAAGAGAGAGAGAUGAGGGCAUAGUUUUGUGAGUAAAGUGGGUUAAUGUGAUGUGACUAAUAGGACCACAUAAUUUAAAUUGUAUGGUUCUGAUUACUGAGUUCAUCAGCUUUAGAGUUUGAGAUCCUAAGAUAAUCUCAAUCCAUAUUUAUGUAAAUCCUCAUGCACCAAUGUAACGAGUUUAUUCAAAUAAGAUUUUUUUUUUUUUGUUUUGGUUGUGGGUUCAUAUGAUUCUUUUUUUUUUCUUUUGAAAUAUAAGAUUAUUGGUUUAAUUAUGGGGGUUUGAUUGGUCUAAUGCAUUGCAACGUUUAACUAAAUCACGUCGCCGUUGACAUUAGUUUGUUAAAAUUGACAUGCUUGUUACUUUUCUCAUACCGAUUUGUUAAGUAUUAAACACAUUUGAUAUUUGUUAUUGGGAUUGAUUAAUUCAUUGACAAAUCCGACAAAAAAUAGACUUUGUGACACGAGCAACUUGAGAGUUAUUCAUAUGACGUGACAUGCUAAUUAUUGUGAGAGUAAUCCUAGGGAACUUAUAUUUUAGGUAAUGUUAAACCUCGUGAUAGGAACGACUUAUACUCAGGUUGGAUUAAGAUGUUCGAUAUUGUGCAUGAACACGACAUUGAUUAAACCCACAUGAACAAUGGAAGCCUUGGAUCAGUGAAGAAUAAUUUUUUAGAAAUUUUAUACUCCUUUGUCAAGUAAUUGUAGAUUGCAUAAACUCAUGGGAACAUGACAUUGAUGUACGGAACAAUAAUGGGUUAUAAUUGGAAGUUUUAACAAAACAUUAUAGGUACUUUUCACUUUUAACGAAAAUGACAUUUUUACUUUAAAAAAUCAUUUUUUGUAUUAUUCACUUACAACACUUUUUUGUCAUUUUGAUUAAAACUCAAAAAUUUUCAGCUGUUUUUAUUUGUUUUCCUUAUCAUAGGAAGUCUUGACGAAUCAAAAAUCAACUGAUUAGGACCUCGUACCUUUACAACUAUACUCCAAUAGGUGGGUAGCAAAUCACUAUCAAUUUCAGUUGGUUUUAGUCAAAAUUGUCUCCAUGAUUUAAAAUCGAUAAAAGCAAGUUUUUAAAAAACGAUAGGCAUUAGUCGGACGGCAAGCUAGAGCCUAGUGCUUAGGCACCUAGGCAGAGUCUAGGUGAGGGUAUAGGCAGAUUUAAAUAAAAUUGUUUUAAAUAUAAUUUAAUUCAAUUUACUAUAUGAUAUUUUUCAAAAAUAUAUGUGUAGGUUGCAUAAUUUUAUGGUGUGGUCUAAAAAAAUAAUCAUAAAAUACUACCAAAAAAAGAAUAAAACAUAAAGAGUCGAUGAUUUGGUUUUGAAAAAAGGAAGUUGGAAUUGACGAAUAGGGGUUAAUAAAUAAAAGAAGGAAAAGAUAAGUGGUGGGACCAUUUAAGGAGAUAAAAGGGAGGAAAACGUGGGUGAAACAGGAACAGUCUUCUUCGUCGCGCGAAAGGUGGACGGAAACACAGCCGCUGCGAACAUUUUUUUUUUCAGAUUCCGGCGUUCUCCACAUACGUCCGCCUAGAUCCCGCCCAAUCCCGCCUAGUCCUGCCUAAUUCUCUCCAGGCGGUCCGCCUAACAUACUUCUGAUUUUGUCACCGAUUAAGAUCAAGUCGCGGCUGUAACCGACCGUCCAGCACCUAAGCUUAUUUUUAGAACAUUGGAUAAAAGUGAUAUUUGAGUUUGUUCACCGUCAACAGUUUGAUCAUUAUGUGAAUAAUCUACGUUAAAUAUGACCUAAAUGAAAAAAAAAAAAAAAAAAAAAAACUCUCAAAUUUUCUCAAAUUUUUUGGGUCCAAUUAGGGCAUUUUUGGUAUUUUGAUCCUCACUUAACAGGUUUUUCACAUAAUGAUAAAAAAUAAUUUAUGGUAGACAAACUCCAUUGUUCUAAAAAUUUCCGCCUAGACGGCUGGCCACCGCUCUAAUUAAUAUCUAUGCAUUUGAAAAUUAAUAAAUGACGCUUAGACCUGUUGAGCCAUCUGCCUAGACUGCCUAGAGAUCCGCUUAGGUCACGGCUCACUUAGACAUAAAAUAUAUCACUUUCAUUUUGCAUUUUAUUUUUUCAAUAAAUUGUAAGAGACUUGUUACAUACUUAAAUAAACACACAUUAUAUCUUUGUUCCCCAUAUUUUUAUUAUGUUCCAAUACUUAAUAAUAUAUGUCAUUCUAUUUUGUAGUUUAUGAUGAAAUUAUAUAUAUUUUAAAGGUAAGUAGACACUUAUUUACACGAAAUAUAAUAGAUUUACUUAAAUCCGCUUAGUCCGCCUAGACUCCAUCUAUCUACCUAGGCGCUAGGCUUCAGCCCGCCGCCCGACUAGCGCCUAGCAUCUUUUAGAACCUUAACAAACUCACGAAUCAAUUCCAUCAAUUUCAAAUUUCAAGGACCAAAGUGAAGAGUUAUUCCAAGACACUAGGGAUGUCAAUUCAAACAAUUAGACUCGAUAACCGUGGAUAACCGCCCGAAUGAAGCGGAUUUAAGUAUGAAAAUUCGGGUAUAUUAUGGAUAUAGGGAAAAACCAUGAACUUUAUUCGGUUAUGGUUUUAGAUAUGGGUAUAGAAAUCUCCAAUCCGUAUCCGUCCCGACUCAUAACCAAAUAACUAUAUAUUAUAUGAAUAUAAUUUAUAUAAUAUAUAUUUAAAAGUUUGAAUGCACCUAUACUAUUAUUACCAUAUUCAUUAUUCAUUGCAUAAUAUAUUUAGUAUAUAAUAUAAUAGUAUUCACCAAACCCGAUAUUCAUUAUACAUCAAACAUCAUGCUUAUGGGAGAUAUCAACAGCUAACAUCAUCAAUGUUUUAUUCAAUACUUUUAUUGUAUACUCUACAAAAUUCAUUCAUUGUUAUGUUUCUUAUUAUUAGACGUGGUUAAUUGAUGAUAAAAUUAUUAUCUACUAAAUUAUUGUGCGUCAAUUGUAUGAUUAUAAUUUUUUGUUUUUAACGAAGAUGGAUAUAACAGUUAACAGUGGUGAAGCCACGUGAUGGCGAGGUGGCGGCCGCCACUCCCCUCGUCAGGAAAACAGGACUGGAGCACUGGUUCAGCUCAUCCCCUUGCAGGAAAACUCGACUGGUUCUGCUGCUGCUGCUCUCCGGUUUUGAUUCUGCUGCUGCGCCUAUCGCCGGAAAAGAAACCCAGGUAUUAUCAUCGAAUAUCGAAGAUUUAGUCGAAAUAUGGGCCUUUUCUGUAUGAGCCGGAGCCGCGACUGUUGUAGUAGCGGCAGUUCAAAUGAGUCGCGAGGAAGAAGAAGAUGGCUUUCUAUUUAACUUGAAACGCACAGUUUUGAUUUGUUGUGGCUACCAAUGGAACUACAGCUGUAAGCCACUUUUGAUUUUUUUUCUUCAUUUUUUAAUUUUUGUCAAUAUUAUCAAAAGAUUUCAGAGUAUCAUUUUUUAUUAAUUAAUCUAUGGUUAGAGUUUUAUAAAAUUUUGAUAGUAUCACACAUAUGUUAGAAAUGUAUAAUCCAUUCUAGCUAGUAAUACCUUUCAUCUCAUACUAUCAUAUUCAUUAAAAUAGUAAAGUGAAAUUUCUAAUAUUCUUGUAUUUUAUAUGUUAAAUAAUAAACAGGAGAAAAUAAAUUUGAAUCUCUAAUACAAGUAUAAUCCUUUUAAGGUGUAAGACAUUUGUUUAUAUGGUAUAUAAUGAAUUUACUUAAAUUCAAUUAUACCUUUGUCUAGGGUCUAAUCCCCAAUUCACCUCCCGAUUAGCGUCUAACAUUUGUUAGAACCUUGACUAUUAACUACAUUAAUAUUAUCUACUAUCUACAAUGAUUUGGUCGUCUACAUUUUUCUGUUUUAAAUUCCGCCCCUCCCCUUGACUAUUCAUAGCUUCGCCACUGACCGUUAACCGAUGGGAAAUAUGUUACCCGAUGGAUAUGGUUAUAGAUAAUUCCUGAUGAUUAAUUUGCGGUUAUGAAUAUAGUUAAUUUUCAUGAUUAUGAGAAUGGAUAGAGCAUUUAUGUCCCCAAACCGAACCGUUGUCAUCUCUACAAGACACAAUUUUAGUUAAAAUGCCUUUUUAAUUUAAUUAACCAAAAAGAAAAACAAUGACACGUGCCGAAGAUGGUAAAAUUAGUAAAUCUACAAACACUCUGAAAAUGUUUCCCAAGUAUUUGUCAGAAAACUGAAUAAUUGGCACGUACAAACACAAGUACUGGAGUACACGUUAACUUACGUAGAAACAAAACCGAUGAAUAAUAAUGCACACUGGCUAAGUUGGUAUGAUAGAUGUUCUAGCAAGUGGAGAGCAAAAACAAAACUUGUGAUUAGCAAGGUCCCUCAUCGAUCACCAGCUGUAUAUCAAUAUAUAUAAUUCAUCGGCAUAUUUUAUAUACAAUAUUUGAAGAUUUGUAUCUAUUCAUUAUAUAUAUUUCAAAAUUUAAUUUUAUAUAAUAAUAAUAAGUGUGAUGAUGAUUAUUAUUGAGGGUGGUGAAUAAAAAUACUUUAUAAAACACGAGGAGAAAUACAAAAAGAGAAAACAAGUGUGCAAAUUCAACCCCUUUUUCGUACUUAGCGCAUCUUUAAUGGAGAAAAACAAAUUUGAGAUGUAAAAAGCCAUGUUAACAAGUUAUUUUAUAUUUUUGGAAGGUGUAAAUGUUAGUUCUACUCCAAAGAAAGAUAUGAAAAUUUGGGACUUCACUUAUUGUUCUCUAUUUGACAGGGGGAAGCCCACCUCAAAAAAUGUAAAAAAAUAUGCAAAUUUGCAUUUUUAUUUACAUUUUUCAGCGAACAUGGAUAUUUUACAUCCAGUCAUAUGAGUGUUUUCCGGCCAAAUCAAAAUAUAAAAUGUCAAAUUCAACGCAUUUUGCAUCUUUAAUUGAAGAUGUUCUUAUGCGUUCGGGUCAAAAAUUAUAAAGUUGCACCGAUUCAAUCUCGGAUUCAGUUGAGUUGAUAGCAGUACGAGAGGGAUAAAUUUUCUAACGUGCUCAAUGUUGAAGCGGAUACUUUACAUAUUAUAGAAUAAUUGCAGGAAAAUAAUUUUUUUUUUUUUUCUAUCCAUAUUAUGACUUUUGAAGUAUCACUUGAAUAUCCGAGUCUUUCAAAAAUAUCUCAUAAAAGGAAUCUGCAUUUGUAGGAACUGUUUGCUUUUUUUUUUUUUUACUCAAUUACCUUCGGGCAAGGAUUGUAUGCCCUUCACUUUUGUUUCUUUUUCCGUGCCCUCCUGUUUUGUGUGAUCACGGUUAAGGCACGUCAAUAUUUUUUAUUGUUUUUUUUAUAGAUAUAAUAAGACAAAAAUGAAUAGUAAUAUAAAAUAUUAACGUGGUUUAACCGUGAUCACACAAACAGAAUGGCACAAAAAUGGCACCGAAAGUGGGGGCAGACAAUCCUUGUCCAUUACCUUCACUCGUAUCCAUCCAUCCCCAUAAUUAAUUGCCAACGUCAGAGUAGCUCGUCCGAAUUCCAGAAGCAUUUAAUAACAUUUUACCAUCACCACAAAAAUUUGGGAUUGGGUUAAUGCACAUUCAUCCAUUCAUUCAAUCUCUUCAAGUUUUUAUUGGUAUAUUUUCGAGUAAGGGUCUGCCAAUUUAAACGGGUAUUUUAUUAGAAAGAUAAUAUAAAUGAUAGUAUAAAUAUAUGGUAUGAAUUUUUUAUAGAAACACUUUCAUAAUAAGCACAUGUUAUAUGCUUAUUCAAAAAACAAUUCGCCUUAAGUUAUUGUCACACAUCUAAUAAAAACGUUUAUGCGUUUAUAAUAUAUUAAAGCGCUUAUGCACAAAGUGCUUCCUACAUAUAGAGUUGUAAACGAGCUUUAAGUUCUUUUCAUAAAUGGUAAUAAUUUGUUGAUAGUGAAUUCUAUGUAAGGGAAUUAAAGCCUUGUUUCGCCUAAUAGUUUAAAGAAAAAUGAUAGGGAAACCCUCUCAAAGUGAGACUCUUUAUAAACUCUUUGUUAUCUUUUUUUUUUUUUGCACAGUCUUUUAUAAUGUUGGUACGAAAAUUGUGCCAAAUAUAUGAGAUGUCAAAAAGUCUAUAAAGAGUCUAACUUUUAAGAGUCUUCUUAACAUUUAUCUAGUUUAAAUGGACGAAAUCAUAAUCAUAUACAUUUUCCCUCUUUUUUUUUUGAAAGGAGUAUGAUAUUCAUUGAAGAUUGAAAUACGUACAAACUGAGGAUAGGGUGCUUACAAUGGGACUCGAUAAAAACCUUGCCGGGGCUUUUAACCCGAGCGAAGGGAAAAAGAGCAUCCCGCACCAAAUUAACUACUAGUAUUAUCCUCUAAUACUAAAUUAGAAAUUACAUCAGGAGGUUAUUCAAACCAAAAAACUGGGUGAUGAACAGUGAGACUAAACCGUGCAAGGAGGUGGGCCACCCUAUUCGUCUCUCGUCGUCCAAAGGUGAUUUUCCAUUGCUUGAAUUCCUGCAAAAGCCUCCUAGUAUCAUCAAAUAUAUGUCCAUAGUGCCCAUGAAUUGUCGCUCCUGCAUUUUGAAUUGCAGAAGUGACCAACAGUGCAUCCCAUUCCACAUGGACCUGCUUCGUGAUCCACCUGCGCAAAAAAAAUAGCUGCUUGUCUAGCAGCCGUUGCCUCCACAUGAAAUGCCGAUCUCACAACACCUUAUCUACUCACCUGUGCUGCCAUAAACCUGCCAUCCGAGCUCCUCACUACCAGCCCACACCCUCCAAUCGACUGCUGCUCAUCCCAAGACGCAUCAAAAUUACAUUUUAUCCAGCCAUAGGCCGGCAACUGCCAUUUAGUUAAAAGUUCCACAGAGGUAUGCACAGCCACCUCAUUCCAUUUUCCCUCUUUUUACCCAAUUGUUUUGUUAUUUUUAACUUUUAAAUUAAAUAAAUUAAAACAAAAUAUUAGAGAUGAUGAAAUGUAGAUGUGUAAAAAAGUAAAAUGGUCCCUCAAAUAAUAAUGGGUCAUUUAAACUAUUGCGAUUAAUUUUGAGUUGGACGGUCACGUUCUCACGUAAUUUAUUUGAAACAACAUUACUUUGGCCGUACUCCUCCUUCCGUACGAUCCAUAGAAUGCCUCUGGUGAAACCAUCAAGUCCACACCACCACAAGAUGAGAGAGGAUCGCCAAGUCCUCUUUGUAAGGAUUCCGGAGAUCCUCCAAUCAGAUUCGAUUAUCGUGUAUCGUACAAUCAAUUUUUGUUAAAUAUGAUUUAUAUUUAAUUUUAAAUAAAAAAAUUUAUAAUAAUUUAUAACUUCACAAUAUACGAUAAACAUAUAUGAUUGGAGUAUCAGAAUCGUACGUCGACGACACAAACAAAGGGACGCGUCUUUACAGCCUGGCUUUGCCUCUCCCUCUUCUCCUCAUUCCAUUCUUAUUCUAUUUCUCCCCUAGCUGCAUAGCAUCAUCUCUCUCACACUCCAUUCCCGGGUCCCACAACUCCACUACGGAAAUACCCAUAUUACCCCCACCACAUCACACCAUAUUACCAUAACAACCCUUCUCUCUCCUCCAAUUCUAAAGGUAAAGCAAACUCUACACUCCCAAUUUCUUCACUCAAAAGUUCAAAACUCCCCACGGCAACGAGACCAUGCCACCGGGCCAUGGUCCUCUCCCCCUCCUCCUCCUCCUCGCCGCCCUCUUCGCGACCGGGACCGUACAAUUCCUGGUGAAUUCCGCCGCCGUCGAGCUUCCUAAGUUCCGAGAAGCACCUGCAUUCCGCAACGGACGAGGAUGCCCCCGCACGGCAUGGUCCUCGCUGGACCAGCACUCCCACUACGACCCCUCCAUCAUCCACAUCGCCAUGACAUUGGACGCCACCUACCUCCGGGGCUCCGUUGCCGGCGUCUUCUCCGUCCUCCAGCACGCCACCUGCCCCGAAAACAUCGUCUUCCACUUCAUCGCUGCCUCCCACCGCAACCGCCGCUCCUCCGACCUCCUCCGCCACGCCAUCACUUCCACCUUCCCCUACCUCACCUUCCACGUCUACCACUUCGACUCCAGCCUCGUCAGGGGCAAGAUCUCCUACUCCGUCCGCCGCGCCCUCGACCAGCCCCUCAAUUAUGCGCGCAUCUACCUCGCCGAUCUCCUCCCCUCGGGCGUCCGCCGCAUCAUCUACUUCGACUCCGACCUCAUUGUCGUGGACGACGUGGCGAAGCUGUGGCGGAUCGACCUCGGGCGGCGCGUGCUAGGGGCGCCGGAGUACUGCCACGCCAAUUUCACCAACUACUUCACCCCGAAAUUCUGGUCGAACGCGGCGUUCGCGGCGGAAUUCAAGGGGCGGAGGGCGUGCUACUUCAACACCGGGGUGAUGGUGAUCGAUCUGUGGAAGUGGAGGGAGGGCAAGUACACGCAGAAGCUGGAGCACUGGAUGCGGGUGCAGAAACGAUGUCGUAUCUACGAGCUGGGCUCGCUGCCGCCGUUUCUACUGGUGUUCGCGGGUGACGUGGAGGGGGUGGAGCACAGGUGGAACCAGCACGGCCUCGGCGGUGACAACGUGGAGGGGCUGUGUCGGGACCUCCACCCGGGCCCAGUAAGCCUCCUGCACUGGAGCGGGAAAGGGAAGCCGUGGCUGAGAUUGGACUCCAAGCGGCCGUGUCCGCUCGAUAGCUUGUGGGCCCCCUAUGAUCUGUACCGUCACUCGUCAUUGUUCUCUGAUAGCUGAGGGUGCCUCACGAAUCACGGAGGCGCUCUGUACCGAAUCCGUACCACUGCAAGCAUGUGAUCGGGGAAGAGGAUGAAUUGCGACAGUGCGUUAUUUUGUGUGGGCCCGUUGAGGCAUGGGAUUUUACGGCGGUUAAAACGGAGAUUUACCCCCGAAUUGUUGGGUAGAUGACACGUGUUCAAGACAUAGGAUAAAGGGGUUUUGUUGUGGAAGGUCCAGGAUGGUCUGUAUUGGUACGCUGCGUGGGGGCGUAUACAUGGUCGGUGAAGAUUCGGAAUUGUAUAUUUUUUGGUUUUUUGGUUUGUAGUGAAGACUAUAGUAAUAUGAAACGUUGGUGGUUGAAUUUUUUUUUAGUAUGUACCCAUGUAUAAUACAUUAGCAUUCUUAAUUGGUUAGCGUUGGAUUCUUGGUUGCACAUUCAAUAGAAAUUUCGGUUUGAUGUUUUAGGAAUGUGUUAGAUAUUAUUUGUUUUUAUUCAAAAAAUUACAAUUUGAGUUUCUUAUUUGAUACGUGCGAGCAUGGCUUAUAUAAGGCUCGUUUGUAGAUACUUUUAAAAUGAUUGAAAGUGUGUUUGAUGAAAUUGACGUUGGUUUCCAAAAACUUUUUAAGUGCAUUUUGGAAGAAGCACUGUAUAUGUGUUUUUUUUCAGGAUUUACUUGAAUAUUUACUAAGAAUUGAUAUUAAAAAUAUUUUAAACAAAUAUAUUUUUAGUCAUUUUAAAAACACUUUCAAAUGAUAUCGUAGUUACAUGACCGAACGAACUCGUGUGUAUGGAAAGGAAAGGCGUAUGCGCAAGAAAUGUUUAAUGUUUUAAUCUGAAGUGAGUGUGACUGUUGAGAUGUUCUUCGGUGCAAUUGAAUGAAGCCAUGAAUGAAGGUGGUUGCAUAUCUACAUGCCCAAGUCCAAAUAGCUUAAGUGAAACGAGGAUCACGAAUGCGUUACAUAUAAAUAUGAACAUCGUAUUUAUUUAUUUAUUUAUUAUGAUGUGAGCAUUGUGAGCACCGACCUAGUGGAUGAUAAAUGCACCCACCUUCAAAUGUGUUUUAGGCGAAUAAAUUAUCAUGCGAUACUAAAAUACGAUUAUGUGGUAUUUUUGUGUUACAAUACAAGUGAAUAUUAAUUGAUGAUAUAAUUUGACAAAAAAAAUUGAAUAUUAUAAACUAGUCGUUUACUUAUAUUGUAACGCUUAUCGAAGCAUCAUACUAAUUUUUUUUUUCAUGUUGCCUAUUGUUCAUUGUACUAAAAAAAAGAUGAACCACAAUAAAAGCAUGUUUACUUAUUAGAAAGACAGCCUCUUCGGUGAGGGUUCCUGAAAUAAUUUUAUUUGAGGGACACCUUGUGGUUUUCUGAUUUCGUAACUUUUUUCAACGAUUCAAACAAUCUAUAUUUUAGCACAUCGUUCAUAUAUCAUUCCUGCAAAAAUUAGAUAAAUACAGAACCAUGAAAACGUCCACAUGUAGUGAAGAAAAUAAACGAAUAUGAUUUUUCAAAGAAACAAUAAUACAAUUACCUUUUAAUCCAAAAUUUAAAUGGAUUCAGAUUUGAGUGAUUUUUUUUUUUUGUAGAUAUUAUCUUUAAGAGAAAACUUAAAAGAUGAACAGUUAAAUCGUUGAAAUACAAUGUGAAGUGAGUGCUACAACCGAUUCCCCAGCGGAAGAGGACUGCUUAAAAUGAUAUGCAAGUUAUGAGUAGGGGUGUGAUAUCCACACACCCCAUUUUACUUCUCACACACCUUUUUAAUUUUCGGCCGUCGGAUCGGAUGAAUUAAAGAAGAUCAAUGGACAAAAAUUAUCAAGGGAUAUGUGAGAAGUAAAAUAGGGUGUGUGGAUAGCACACCCCUAUGAGUAUUAUCCUCAAUCUUGGAAUAUCAUGCAAUUACUAAUACAUGACGAUUUUUUUUAAAGGACUUUUUUUUGCCAUGUCACUUGAAACUUUACGAUCUCACCUUGUUCUAUUUUAUGUGCACAGUGCGAAAGCGAUAAAUAUAGCAAACAUACGAAUAAUUAAAAACCAUAUUACUAGUGUGCACUUCUAAACAGAAAGUGGUAGGAGUUAAGUAUAACGUAACACUCCUAGUCAGAGCAUAAAGUCUAGGUGCAAUCCAGUAGGACAAAUACUAGUUAUAUAGUACCAGGAAUGUCGUACUAUUAUAUGGAUAAGUCAGAACUGCCGACGUCAUCUACCUACCAACAACAAUCUUACUUAAAACCUGGAGGGGCGCAAAACAGAAAACGUGAGUAGGCGAAAACAAAUGUUUUACAAAAUCAUUUCAUUUAUCAACAUAUCUAACCCCUCGCUGUAAAACAGGUAUAAUUUUCCCAGAAUCAAGAUGUAAGCAUAUAUAUAUAUAUAUAUAUCUGAAAUCAUAACCAUUCAAUUCAUGCUUCACAUAAAUCAUUUAUAUGUAUGCCAUGCCAAAAUAUAAUAAGUAACAAUCCAGGUAAUAAUGAUUUCAUAGAAGUAUGACAUGUUAGCCGGAACUCCUGAGUAGUUUGUACGGCUGAAUUCAUAGCUUAAACUCAAUAUAGUCGGAGUCCACUACUAUGACCUAUACGGCAAUAUACUGCACAUAAGUUGGAACCAGUAAAAAGGGUCUGUACGACAAGGUUGGGUGAGAUACAGUUAUGCUCAAUUAUACUUUCUCAAUACUAGUUGUGCGAUAAUACGUUAGUCACCUACGAGUUGGAACCACCUAUAGUGGUCUGUACGACAAGACUGUGCACCUAAUUGGAUCCAAUGUGAGCAUAUGGUGUGGGAUGUGACAUAAUUUACAGGCCUAUGCCAACUCUCUCUGGAUAAAUCGCAAUCACCCGAGGUGCAGAUUUAUGAGCUCAUCGUUUCUCAGUCACAUCUCAUAUAUCCAACCAAACAUGUUCAUCACGCUACUCAAUUCUUCAAAUAAACUUAUAUCUCAUUUAUUUCAUGUCAUAUAUUGUAUGGCUGCACCUAACAUUUCGUUAGGCUGCCUACGUACCAAAAACAGGGAUCAAGCCGUUCGUAGUUCACAUAUACCAAAAAUAACUUACCUGAACUUACCUGUGCCUUCACAACACCACAAUUAUAUAUAUGUGCAACCAUGAAAUGCAUAUUCAGAAAAAUAAAGGCAUUUGGCAUAUUAUUUCAAAGCAUACUUUCAUUUAAAACACAUUUCUGGGAAAUAUAUCAAGUAUAUAAUUAUAUACUGAAAACAAAAGCCCACUCACUGGUAUGUCGACGGUUCGUAGCCCUCAAGUCGCCCGUGGAUACGCUCGUCCUCGGGAUAAGUCUAACCUAUAUGCGAAUUAACUAUAAAAACGUUAUUUUAAAGCACAUAGAUAAAACUAGCUAAUAAAUUCUUAUACAUUGCUCAAUUUGGGUAUAUGAAUAUACCACAGUGAUCUACUCGACGUCACGGACGUCGAGAUAUUUUUAAAAUAAUUUUCCUAGGGCCCAUGCGCCCUCACGCGCCGGGGAGGCCACGGUGCCACGCGCCCCCCACGCGCAUCAUCUUCUUCGUCCAGACGCCGGAAAACUGGGCAACCCUAUAAUCGACGAUUUCUCACUCGUUUCUACACCAUUUUCCAUGAAAUUUUCACCAGAACUUCACAAACUUCGAGAGGAAAAAGGCUUAUACCUUUUAAAACUUCCAAAUCCUUCAAAAACUCGUCGGGACAAUUUCACCAAAACCGGCCAACUUCGAACCUUGUGAUCCCGACGUCCAAAACCUUCAAACGAAGCACUCCGAGCUUCCUUGGGACCUCAUUAAGCUCGCUAUAAGCUUGGAUUGUCCUAAAACACAACCAUUUAAAAGUUCAUGAAUAUUGCUCAACUCGAAGCUUGAGUUUUCAACGUGAUAUCGAACGAGUUAUUACCUGAAAUGGGUACCUUUGAACUCUUAGGGUCCUCACGAACACAAUGGUACCAUUUUCUUCCUCGAUCUAUGAAGAUUUGGCUCAGUUUCAAGGUGGUCCGUAAGGAUGAGAGGGAAGAGAGAGAGUGAACUGAGAGGGAGGGUACGGGAGUGAGAGAGAGAAGGUGAUGUGGAUGUGUAUGUGUGGUCUAGAAUUAGUCAACAACCCAAAAUACACAAUAUACCUAAUCCUAAUUGGUCCAAAACAAUUAGGAUUUGAAAAUAGUGAUCCAUACACAACACUUAGACCACAUCACACAAUUUAACGUCCAUGGGUAUUUCCGUCAUUUCACACCAUUAAGGAUAAAAUAAUACACAUCUCCGGGAUGGACUGUGACAUCAAAUAUUUAACCUGGCAUGAUUAGAACUCACUUAUAGAUGAGGAUCCUCUUUGUGGGGAUCAUAGGGAUCCUCAUAUCAUGGUUGUUCAUCGUACAUCGUGCAAUAAGUUUUCGUUAAGUACUAUUUAUAUUUAAUUUUAAAUAAAAAAUUUAAAAUAAUUUCUGACCGCACGAUGUACGAUAAACGGUUAGGAUGUGAGGAUCCCCACAAUUUGAAUCUGGAUGGGAUCCAAAAUAAUAUAAAAAAAGGGUUUAAUAUUUUCUAAAAUUAAAGAAAAACAAAAAUCUCCCCUCCCCAAGUUGCCAUGAAUCUUAACUCUCUAAGUGAGACUCAAGUUGAAAUGAAGUAUGACACACCCAAGCAAUCAAGUAAGUGAAACAUCUAAAAAAAUUAAGUUGGGUUUUUUAUUUGGCAAUCAUGGAUUUUGGAGGCCCAUGUUUUUAUCCAGCCCAACCAAAUAUUUCUUCUCCCCCAGCCCAUAUACACACAAGUCCACUUCAACCUGAGGUACAAAGCGAGACAAAGAAGCAGUGCGAAAACAGCCUUACCUGCAUAUCCUACUUUGACAAGGAAGGACUGUUGGCUCAGUCCGUGAUGCAGGACCUGAGGUUGCAUUAGGUAUACAUAACUAGGUUAUGGGGAGGCUGCCAAAUGGAUUCUUCGGCUAUUCGCGCGAUCAGGAACCGCGCAGAACGGUGUUUUCACAGAAGCUCAGCUCCUGGACCUUAGAGUUUGUACUUGAACUUGAAAUAUGGAAAAUGAAAUGAUUUUUGCACUCCCAUUGUCUCCUCUGCACUCCUCCCUUUGUUUCUAGCCUUUGCGUUUGAACAAAUCGAAGGAGAAUCGACACGCAUAAACACGAGGAGUGCAGAAUGAGAAUAGAGGAGUGUGAAAAUCACCACCCGUUCGGAGAUCAUUAAAGUUGCAUAUCACCACCCGUUCGGAGAUCAUUAAAGUUGCAUUCCUUUCGGGAGUUCAUUUGUGUAUAAUGUGCAGGAAAUGGAGCCUAAGAGUAAGAAGGCAAGUGCACCAGGAAGGAAUGCUCUGGCUUCAGCUCUUUGGCUGCAGAGGAAGAUGGUAAAGACGUUGAGUGAGAGCAUGGAUGAGAUUAACAGCCAUGGGAAGCGUCUCUGGUGGAGCAGGUGGAUCGCCAUAGAGGAUUGAUUCGAGUUUGUGAAUUACCUGGAAUCUAAUCGAGACAUAUUUAUACCUUGAACAGUGGUUUGUGUUAUUUAUGAGCACACUUGCAAGGACUUUCUUUGUGCAUUUGCAGAGUCCUCCAUGACUUCAACUGCAACCAAGCAUUCCCAGCCUUUCUACUAGAACACAAAAAAGGGAGAAAAAUAUGUGUAGGUUACGCCAGUUGACAAAAGCAGUGUGCCACAAGUGGAGAGUGUAUGAAUCUGUAACGCAGUGAGUUUAGCGAAUGAACUCGACAACCGGAAUAGAGUUUAAGCAAACCCAUCUCACCCUUCCACCGACAGCAAAACCUGGUGACCCAAACCCAGCUGGCCCGUUUGCACCUUGGGCUCCUAAGUUGCGAUUCCUAAGAAAGCUUAUAUAUUAAUGUAAUUAAGAUUGUACAACUUUAUAAGAAGAAUAAUGUUGAAGAGUUCACGAAUUCUAAGUGAUUUAUGAGAUUAAUUGAGGAUUUUGGGCUAAUUGUCUUGGGUUAUUUAAUCUUUGUAUUCUAAAUUGAUUAUUGAUUUGCUUGAAGGUCAUCAUCAACCAACCUUCGUGUAGAUUUUACUCGGUCAUGACAAAUAUUUGUUCCCUUUUGAGAGCUUUCAAUUAAUAUUUGAGAAAUUCAAUAUGUUUACCGAGAAGCAAAAUUUGUCGCCGACGCUUUGACAAACUGUAGAUACAAUUUGUCUAAUUUUGUAUAUGAUUUUGUAAUUCUCCCAAGGUCGUUUGUAAGUUUUUCUUUCUCAAAUAAACUAUAGCAUUCAAGUAAGCAAAUCCAACAAAAGCGAUUGUAGUCCAUACUAUAUGAUGAAUAAUUGGAUUUAAACAUUCAGGCUGUGAUGAAUAAUCAGAUCUAAACAUUCAGAUCCUCCUCUUUGGACCCCAUUUCGUUCAAUGUUGAUAAAGUACGUAAUUAUAUCAUAUAUUUAUCAUAAACCAGCACUGCUCAUGAUCAUACCAUGCUGCCACGCUGGCUGGGUCUGAUAUAUAUAUGCCAUGCUGCCAACUGCCAUGCUGGCUACGUAGUCAACGAGCAUGCAAAGUGCGAAACAUAAUAAUUGAUUAAUUAGGAAAAACACUGUUAGUACUGCACUUAAAGGCUGUAAUCGACGGGUAAGUCAAGAACGUGGCUAAUUAAUCCUUCAAGAAAAUUAGCUUCCUUCUAAGCAAACCCUGCCAAAACCCAAAAUCCGAUAUCUGCAUGUAAGACUAGAACUGUAGUUUGCCGCUCGAUUCCGUACAUUCCACAGAAAACACAGAUGUUUUUCACAUGCAUGUUAAUUCCAUGCAUACAAGGCAUAAGGUUAAUGCUAGCUAAUUAGCUCCAUUAGUAUUUUCCCUUUGAAUUUGCAGGGAAAGUGGUAUGGAUGCACAUCAGAACUUGCAUGCUGGAAUUAAGGACUUCAAGUUGCUUAAAAUACAAGCAUCAAGAACAGAUAUAUUAUAUAUUUAUGUGUUUGUGUGUGUGUGUGUGUAAACAAUUACAUAUAAGACUCCAGACUUAGAUCAGAUAAAAGAUUGAAAAAAGUAUAUAUGUUGAGUCCAUCACAGGCAAUGGCAUUGUAAAUCACGAGAAGUUCACGUGCAACACUGACCUUGUUGUUUAUUAGUGCAUUUGGAACAACAAACAUAACAUAAGACGCCAGCUUCAAAGCUAUAAAUGCGACACUUAGAAAUUAAUUUAAUCAGCACCAUUUUCUAGCUCUAAUAUGGGGGUAUUAUUUGAGUUCCCAAAGUUUUGUAUCUUAAUACUCUACGUACGUAGAGUCUCUACCAAGUAUCAUACAUACGUAUAUGCCCCUGCAACUGAAAAUGUCUGUCUGCAUGCGCACAUCGCAUGUCUGAGUGACUGAGUAUAUGAACUGUGACAUUGAAAACUAGCUAGGAAAAAAGUUGAAAAAAAGAAGGUAGAACAAAACUAUUUUGUAUCGUCUUUAGUAUCUUUAUUAAUCAUCUAGAGUGUACUGUAGUUUUUAACAAAAAAAUGAGACUUAUACGUUGACCUCUUUGUUGAACGUACUGUAUAUGAGAUAGUACAUAUCUAACAUGCGCAUGACUCUAUGUACGUAAGCAUGGAAUAAGGAUGGAAGAAACUAAGAAACAACUGGAGAUUGCCAUUGCCUGAUUCGAUAUCGACAGCUUGAAAUUGCUCAAUACAGAAUAGAAUAAUGGAUGUACAAUUUGCUUAUUAGAAUUGAGGGUUAUUGGAAGUUGGUCUCCUCAGAGAAAUGGGAGGAGCACGAGACGAAGCAAGUGGGUUGCUUUGCUUUGCUUCUGGUGCAAAAUAAUAUAUUUAUAAUUAAAAGCUAGUUAAUCAGCAGCAUAAUAUCUAUUAGUUUAGAAUAGCGGAAUCUUUGGUCAUGGCUUUUGAUAUUUCACUCCGUUAAUCGCACAGCAGAAUCCCAAAUGCCGUCCAAGCAGGCUUUCGUAAUCACCAUAAUAUUUGGUUGCCCUUUUCAUAUAUUCCUACUGUCUCAUUUAGUACAGAGAGACAACUAUGUCUGUCACAUUGUCCACCCAAAAAACAAUUUCAUCUGCUUAAAGUGCAAGGCUCUGCAAAUCGAGAAGUUCUUCAGUAUAGUGGUAGAUCGUGUCAAGUCAUCCGCCUGAUAAAGAGGCCUUGAAAUCGAGUUUUGCACGAGCUCAUCUUGGUGGCAUCGAAUGCAGACUCACUUUGUGUGCGACUUCUGGACAGGCGAGUGGGCGUGGCACGGAGCCCUACCCAAGAAUUUCUCAUGUAAAUCUUACUCUCUCAUCGUCCAUGUUGCCCUACUUUGCAUAUAUAAAUAUCAUGACUCAGCAAAUUCAACUUCUACCCUUGAAUUAAUAUUUCUAAAGAAAAAUCCAAGCAGGAAAAAAUGUACCGUGUUUUGAGAAAAUUAAACCCCACUUCUGUUUUUUUUUUUUUUUGUGGGGGUGGGGGGUGGUUUGGGAGGAAGGGCCGGCCCAGGCCCAGUGCAGGAGGGGCAACCGUCCAGGGCCCAAAAAAAUUAGGGGCACCAAAAUUAUUAGGGUGAUAUAUUUACAUAUGUUUUUAUAAGAGUAUAAAUUUAUAAAAUUUGAUUCAAAGACACAUAAAUUUAACUAAAAGUGGUGGUUUGUCAUUUGAAAAUAAUAAAGAGGUCUUGGGUUCAAAACACCAUGUGUGCUUAUUUACUUUCCUUUUUUUACAAAUUUUUUUUAUAAGAGUAUAAAUUUAGAAAAUUUGGUUAAAGGAUCAAAAAGUUUAAUUAGAAACAAUGAUUUUUGUUGUUUAAAAUUAACAAGUGGUCCUAAGUUCGAAAUGCUAUGUGCAUGUUUAUUCUUUUCAAUUUUUACAAAUUUUUGUUUGGUUGGUAAUUUAUUUUUAGUUACUAUCUAGUAGCUAUGUGGGUUGUUAUUUUUAAAUAUUCGUUUUAAUUCAAGUCUAAUCUUCAACAAAGAAUAAUACGUAGACCAAAUUUGCAAAUUAUAUGAUGUGUCAUCAAAAUGUUUAAUUUAGUACCCAUUCAUUAAUAAUACAUAUUAAUUAAGAUUCGAAAACAUCAUUAUUUUUUAGUCCAGUAUUGACAAGUUUAGUAAAUAAGAAAAAAACACCUCACGAUUUAUUCAAAAACACAUUCAAAGUUCAAAUGGAAAACAAAACUCAUCAUCUAUCUACUUGUAAGCCCGCAGUUUUUUUGUUUCUCUCUCUCAAUACAAACUAAAUUAGUCUUUCUGUGUUUCUAAAUUAUUGAGUUUGAAGUGUUUUUCUAAGUAUAAUUUUUUCGAUGUCUUAUGUGUGAAAAUAAAUAAUUUUCUUACAUGAAGUAUGCAAUAAUCACCGGAGCAUGGUCCAGGGAAAGUUUAACAUUGCUAUCAAAGCCGUUGUCUUGUCCCUACAUAUAUGCUUCUGUUAUAAACUAUAAGCCUAAAAAUAUGAUGAAGUCACUAAUCAUGCAUGCUAACAAAAGGUUAGUUGAUUAAUAUACGUGGAUUCUUAUGUAGGAUUCAACUUAUCCCCUCCUACUGCAUGUUUAGGUGGAUCCAACACAAAGAUAAAAAGAAAACAACAAAGAAAUCCACUAAAAACAUAGGGGAGAAUUAGUUGAGGACAUUGUUUGACUCCUUACUUGUUUCAUUCAAGCUCACAUAUAUAGAGAAGUAACUCGUUAAAAGCACAUAAUUAAUGAAACUUUUCUGUACACAUGUAUGUGUCAGUUCGUGUAAAAUAAAGAAUGACUUCAUGUGUGUAAAAGAGUCAGAUAUUUUUCUUAAGUUGGUGUGUCCCGCACCUCAUCAUUUACAAAAUUGAAGGGCAACUCACAAAAAACCAAAAAACUUGCAACCUUAUGGUGAGUAGUUGCCGACCCAUUAUGCUGGUGGGCAAUGCCUACCUCGCGCAUAUAAAUGAUGUAUAGUCCAAUUCAGACCAAUGUAGCACAGCAAUAAUAUUACAUGUGAUGUGAGUGAGAGAUAAGAGUGCUUGCUUGGAUUGUUUUUAUCAUUUUGUGUAAUGUGUUUGCUGAGGUAGGGUAGUAGGAUAAGGCAAGGGAUUCCAAAGUGAGGGAGGGAGGGUGGUGGGGCCCACUUGAAGGGUGUUUGUCGGGUUGGUUUGGGGAGCACUGCCCCAUCCUCCGGCUCUUUUUUAAGACCAAUGUGAUCAAGGACCACACCCACAUUUCUCCUCAUCCGGUCCUUCUCACUCUAUAAGAACCCCCUUUGGCCUCUGCACUUUCAAACCCAACUCACACAAUCUCUCAAAGCUCAUUACCUGCAGAAGCAACUCACUCGCUCACUCACUGCAGUCAACAGACAGAAAGAAAGAAAACCCUAAUUCUCUGAAAUAUGAAGAUGGGCAGCUCUGGCAGCAUGGCAGGCAGCAAGAGAAGGUUGUCUUCGUCGUCAAGCAAAGGACUCGGAGGGGUCCUGCGAGAGCAAAGAGCCAGGCUUUACAUCAUCAGGAGGUGUGUGGUCAUGCUCCUCUGCUGGCAUGAUUGAAAAUAUGACAUGACGAGAGAGGAGGAUUUUGGUUUUUCUUCCUAAUUUUCCUCCUUUUUCUUGUCGUAUCAAGAUCUUUGAUCUUGUUGGUGGAGUUGUAAAUAGCCAGCGGAUGUUUUUAGGAGAUUUGAAGAAAAUUUUGUAUGGGGUUUAGCCUUGUGGGGCUUAGAUAUAUAUGUACAUCGGAAUAGCCUAAAUAUAUAAACUUUGAUAUUGCAUUGUUCUUCCUCAGAAGUUCUUAUGCAUUGAUCUUCUUCUCACUUAACAAAACCACUAUGUUUUACAAUUUGGGAGGGAGUUCCAAGUAUAAUUAAACAUUGAAAAAGGAAAAGGGGUUUCAAUUACUAAAGGAUUCCAUAAAAGGUUAUGCUCCAAUUACAUAUGUCAUAUCACUAGUUGGACACGAUAAAAAAGAUCUCUUUGGAGCAACUACAACCUUGAUUUUCUUAUUUUCUUUAUCCAAUUUCAGCUCCAAAUAAGUGAUGUGGAGUUCUCAAAAUUUUCUUCCUUUUCAAAUGGCUUUGUUAUGUUUCCUAUUCUGUUGAUUAAAAGGCCAAUUAUGACCUAAUGAAACUGGAGCUGUUAAGAAGCAGAAAUGUCUUGUGAGUUCUCAGAGUGUUGUUAAAACUGAAAUUCAAGGGAAGGAAAGAUGUAUGAAAUGGAUCAUAAUUUAGCAUCCACAUUGGAUGUAAUAAUCAUUCAUACAAGGCCAUUAAUCUUUGGCCAAUUAUUAAUUGAGGAUUCAAUUCGUUAAUUUUAAUGUUUAUUUCAGUGUAGUAGAUUAUUUCUGCCUUUUUGGAUUGCAUGUCCAAAAAGUGUUUGAGACAUUCGAUAUAAAGCAUCAAAAUUCAUGAUUAAUGCUUUGACCAAGUCAGCUAAGAACACUUACAACAACAACAAAGCCUUAAUGAUAAAGAUUGACCAAGUUAGCUAAGACCACUUGAUGACAAAAAAUGUACCUUAAAAAUAGGGGUGUGAUAUCCACACACCCAUUUUUACUUAUUACACACCAUUUUUAUUUUCGGCCGUCGGAUUAGAGAAAUUGAAGAAGAUCAAAUGACAGAAAUUAACAAGGAGUGUGUGAGAAGUAAAAGGAGGUGUGUGGAUAGCAUACCCUUAAAAAUAAUCGAUUAAGCCUUAAUCCCUUGUCAUAAUUCCCAUUUUAUAUGGUUGUUUUGCAAGGCCAAUGAUUAACUAAAGAAACAAUGCAAUUGGCCCAUCACUAAUCACUAUAAUAUUAUAAGCUCUUGUUAUGAUCUGCUUGUCUUCAACCAAACAAGCACCAGCAUCUCCUUCCCUCAAAAAAAAAAUAAAAUAAAAAGCACCAGCAUCUCCUAAAAAAUGCAAUUCCCACCUUGUCUUCAAAUAAGCUAUUAUUUUUAGCCAGCAUCCAAACAUGGCCUUGUGAGGAAACUGCUUUUUCGACGUUUGGGUCAAAAACCCAAACUCAAAACUAAAGCUCUCUCGAGUCUCUCCCCUCUCUUUGUGGGCUAGUUGAAUUACUGGGAAGGGAUCAUCUUCGAAUCUCUUCUUCUUAAUUCAUUAAGUUUGGGGAUUCGGGUCUGGAUAUUCGGAUCAUUGAAAUUUAAUCAAACGGUUAAAGUUAUUAUACUUUUUAAAAUGGGUCCCUGUUUGUAACCGUUUGAUUAAAUUUCAAUAAUCUGGAUCCCCGAAUUUGAUGGAUUAGAAGGAAGGGAGGAUCCCUUUCCAAAAUAUUGGAUCCCAGCUCAUGUUCACGUGUGCCACGUGUACGGUUAUGAUGGGCCUACCCCAAAUAGUAUUCCCUUUUGUCUCUUCUUUCCUUAUGAAGCAAGGAGCAGGGGAAGGGUUAAAAGUAAGUCCAGGCAGUCCUACUUUUGGAAUCAUAAAUCAGCACAUAUACUCUCUAGUGUACCAUAAUACACUGCACCCCAACGUAAAAUCCGGACACCUGUCACUAACACUAGAGUCGGUGAAUAACAACCCGACACGUGGACUUCUGAAUGAUUUUUUUUUCAUUUUUGGUUUCUUGUUUUAGAGGAGAGAAGGGUGGGUCAGAAAGUCAGAUGUACAGGAGCCGAAUAAUGCAAUCUAAUAUUCUGUUGUCGGCCACACAGGAGAGUGCCCCCUCUCUGUCUUACUCUUUGAAAUUUACCUCGAUAUAAAAUUUGACCGUGACGGUAUUCUAAUUCAAUUAUGUAUUAUCAAGCGUUUAAACUUGUUCAUAUAACAUUGUCGAGUUAACUCGUCUCCCACUGCAUAAGGGGGAUUCUAGUGUUCAGAAAAUAUUUUGUUGACCGAGAGCUCUCGAGCUUUCUUCUCUGUUAGGCUCACUCGAAUGAAAUGACUCAAUCAGUAGUAGUGAUUGAGUAAGAAAACUCAAAGCCGCGCUCGACAGAAAGUCGGACGCGAAUUGGUUGGUUGAAAACGGCAGCCUUAUCGUGCCCACGUGCGCCUCCCUAAUCUUCAACCCCACCAAUAUAACGUACGAUUCUAUUCUAAUGAAACAUGGGGCCCACGCGUUGUCCCCACAUGGCACAUCCCGUCUUCCUCAAUUUCAUCCAAUAAUGUUAUGCAUACUAAGUGCAAAUGUUACAUCUUGGACCUGGCCGAAUGUCCGUUAGAACUAAAGGUUGUCCCAAAAACAUUUAAAGUUUGAAAAAUAUACUUGUGAAAAAUUUUCGAGAACUUUUUGAAUCUUUGGUAAGAGUCUCUUUUGCACGUCUCGAGUUUUGUUUUUAUUUCAAAACCUUGUCCUUUAACACUAGAACUCACCAAAAUUCGAAUUCUCGAUCUGCCGCUGAUCAUGGGCAUCAACAUUUCAAGUAUAAUGAAUAAGGUGUAGUUUCAUCAUCCAAGUAAGAUGAUGAUGGGACAUUCUCCAAACGCACUUGCCAAUUAGCUGGUUUUUGCUUUACGAUUAUUGGUUGUUGGCUCCUUUCAAACUGCUCCAUCGGUUUGAAAUAACUAAAAACACUUUGUAGUCAUAAAAAACGCUUAUAGCAUCGAUAAAUAAACUUAAAAGUGCUAACUGGUCAUAUAAGCACUUUACAAAACAGACCAACUACGAGCACAAGUACUUUGCUUGGAUGUUAAUUAUGAUAUUUAAUCCAGUCCUGUUGUGUUGGGGUUGUCUCUAAUUCUUAGGGAUUCUUGUAAAAAAGAUGGGUCAUGGCCCAUGGUGUCUCCUCAUGUUACAAGGUGGUUGCUUAUGUGUUAUUAAUGUAGGAUUUAGGAUACAACAUUGUGCUGGCUGCCGACAAAACAAGGUUGCUAAAUCUUCUCUCUAAAAACCCUAACUGCAGAGCAUAUGGCAUAUAUGUAUAUGUUCUUAGCCGUUAAGGUCAAUUGAUCACAAUCAUUUGCAUCGUUCUUAAUGUUUUAAUCCACCAAUUUCUAAUCUUGGGUGGUCUCACUAUUAAUGGUCCAAGUUUUUGAGAUAGAAAUAGAGCGCAUACCGCGGAAAAAAAAAUAUUCAGUUUAUUUACUGAGACAUUUAAUCGAACACUUGAUGAGUAAUAUCGUGAGAAUUCUUCGAGUGUUGUUCAUAUAACUUAUCGAGAUAUACUUAGCAAGUAUUUCAUCAAAUACUUAGUAGGUACAAGGGGGCCCGUACAAAACAUUUGGAGGGUCAUCGGAAGACCUUCACAUGUAUAUUUUAUGAACUCCGGGAGGCCCUAGACCACUUAGGUCCAAGUAUGUAUCCGCCUCUGUUUCGCGAUGUAUCAUGUCUUUAAGAAAGACAAGACGUCCUGCACAGAGUUGAAUAAUCCGUAGGCUCAUUGUUCAGUUCUUUUUCUCGAGCCCAAAAAAGCCAUGGUGCUGUGGUCCUCCUUGUCUACCUUAUAUAGCCCCAUCAGGGCAUCUAAAGAUAAAAAGAAGACCAAUUGCAUUUGCCAAGGGAGAGAAGCAUUAGGCAUGUCUUGCUAAUACAACAGAGGGGUGCCCUACUAUCCAACUAGGUCACUUGCCCUACAACAUGCUACAAGGGCACCAGCAGAAGCUGCUUUUCUAGGUUAGGUCUGAAUCUGGCUUCCCCACAAGCAAUAUCAUAUGCUGCUCAUCAACAAGCACUUUUACCUCAUAGUGCUUAAUUUCACAGCGAGGCUAGGCCCAGUGGUCUCUCAAGCAAUUAUCAAAGACAACUUGCAUGACCUACGCAGCCCUGAAAGUUGAUGAAUGGUUUCAUGGUCCAACCUGUUGUCAUUUGAUUACAUGUGAAAAACUCAUCAGUGUUUUCCUCGGCGUUGACAAAGCAUCGAGUUUCCAAUAAUUUGAUGGUCCACACGUCUCUCGGCUAGUUGAAUUCGUUAUAAUACGGAUGCUAAGCUUUAAAAUCCAAAUACAAACGCAAACCAGAUAAAUAACUGCAUUUUAGCUUGAUUAUAAACAGAGAGCAAAAAGAGUAAGUUCGGUCGAGGUUUGAACACAAAUGAUCAGAGAAUUUCAGUUCACAAACACUACUUUACAACCAGGUCUCACAGUUCAUUCUGUUUUCAGCAAAAAGUUGGAUAUCACGCCGAGCUGAUUUGAUACGUGAAGAUUAAUCAAAAUGUAGCCACAAAAUAUUUACCACCGUGAAACCAUGACCAACACUUACAAAUCCCGAACCAUGUUCAGUCAGCCACCUUGCCACCCCAAGAAAGGAAACUUUCCUGUGACCCGAAUUCCUACAAUGCACGAUUCAGAAAAGCGUUAGCAUAAAGGAAAAUGCAAACAAAACAAAAAGAAUUGACUAAACCAACAAGAAGCAAGACAAGAAGAUUUACCAGCUGGCUAAGUCGGAAAUCUGGAGGUGUAUCGAGUUCCAAAAUAUUAGCAGGAUCGAGGACAAGAUUUUGACAAGCCUCUAGAUCCUUCUUUAAAUCCUCUGGUCCUAGUUUAGCAUAAUCAGCAAGACGGGGGGGUUUGAUGUGCGCUUGUUCACCAUUUUCAUGUCCACCCCUAGUUGGAGAUUGGCUCUGAAGAAGAUCAUCACACAGAGACAACCCUUCCACAAGCUGUUGCGAAUCCAGAAGAUUCUGUGACUCACUGUCCCACCAUUUUGGAUCUUCCUGAGCAAUGUUUUCAGUGUUAUUAAUUACUUCAUCAGCUUGAUUUUCUACCUUGUGUUGGUCAUAAUCGUCAGGCUUUUCAGAUUCAGGACGAACAUCAUCUUCAGCACAGUCCACCUCUGGAUGAAUUUCAUCUAAAGCACGGUCCACCUCAAAAUUAACUUCAUCCUCAUCUUCAGCACCAUCCUCCACACGAUACUUCAAUUGAAUACAGAAGCCAUAAAAAAAUGCCCAUAUCAGUAUCUCUCUGGAUCAUUCACAUUAAUGCCACAUUAUUAUAUCACAUAUUAAUGGAAAACAACAGGGAGAGAAUGUGCAAGAAAGUAUACAUUAGGCCAGGAAUAUAAUGCAAGCAAUAUAAAUUUAAAAUUUUCAAGUUGAAUAUGUUCGUGUCACAAGAAAUAAAAAUGUCUUCUUGUGCUGCUUGUAGAAAUUUGUGAGUAAACAAAAAUUCAAAUUAAGAAAACAAACUAUACCUGAAGAAAGGGAUCUCUGGAAGGAGCAGGAGUAUCCAAUGCCGAAUCAAAAUCACCAAGCUUUCGUUCAGCGCGCGGAGGUUCAGGAGUAACCGACUUGGGAGUGACUGGAUCUACCUUGGUGAUCACUGCAUCAAUACUUUCAGGAACAUCUUGAUCAGUUUUAUCAGCUUCCUUAGCUUCCUGCUGCUGGUAAUAUAUUUUAGAUAUAACAUACUCUCCAUCCUUCUCAUCCUCCUCAACGCCUAGGUGAUAUUGAUGCAUAACCCAAUUGGUUUUCACAGGUUUUCCUCCUCUGAUCGUGCUCAUGUAUAGAACCAUAAUCUUCUUACACCCUCUUUGCACCCCAUCCAAGAUCACUGGUUUAGUCCUUCCAGUCUUGUGCCAGCGGACAUCACCAUCACCAUCAUGUAUCUUUCGACGCUUUCGUGUUCCAGUAUUGUAAGCCUUAAUUGCUCUAUGAAAGAAGUGGGAAGCACUUCCAUCUAGCUUAACACCUAACAUUUAAUUUCAAAUCAAUUAAUAAAAGAUUAAGGGUCAAAGUUUUAAAACAAAACAAAUGUUUCGCACUUACUAGGUAGUUUCCUAGGAUGGGAACAACAGAUUCCUUCAUCGUCGUCAACAGUUAGAAUAAACUCAUCAAUAAAAGGAUGGGGUUUUCGAUCACCUACACCAGAUUUUGCAAUUAAGUGCCAUAUAAUCUCUUGAUCAGUUGGAUCAAAUUUUACACCCUUGGGUAAACCUGGCCACUCUUGAGCAACCUGGAAAGAGAUGGCAAACACCCUAAUUUUCAAAGUUCUUCAAUUUUCGUUAAUAAUAAAUGAACCGAUAACCUGAAACAAACUUCAUUAAAAUAAUUUCCAACAGAGCUUCUCUAACUGAUGGCUUUUCAUUGAUGAACAUUCAACUUUAAACAUAUGGAUCAAAAAAUAAAAACAAAAAUCUUACAUCACUAUUGUCAAUCGUAUGCUGGCAUUUUGGACAAGCUUUAGUUGGGUUGCUUUGCCAUAUAAUCACAUUAGGAUCAUAUCCUCCAGAUGCACUCUUGAUUUUUGUUGCGAUUCUAUUUUUGUCAACCAACCACGAUGGCCUGCAUACAUUACACAAAUGAUUAUACUUGAAGCAAUCAGCUGCUCCAACAUAUGUUCAGCAAAGUAUUUAAACUCCUGAUCUAGCUUAAUUAGAAUAGAUAUUUUAGGUUGGAAGGACACUGAAAAGAUACAUAAAGAUAUAAUCGGCAGCAUGGAGAUUAUUCAGAAGAAACAGCAUAAUUAAAAAGAUUAACCCAUUCAGAAGAAACAUCAUAUAACGGCCAGUAACAGAUCUAAACUAUGAAGUUAUGAACUAUUACUAUCAUCAUAUACAUAUAAACAAAUGGAAUGACCCAAAAUUUGACUAGAGAAACGAAAAAUAAUGUUAGAAAAUAUAUGACAACUUGCAAAGACAUAAUCUUUUGUUGCCGAAACACAGUUCUAAAGCCCGAAUUAGAGGUAGAGGGAUGCAAACACAUAAACCAUUUUAAAACACAAGCACACAUAGGUGAGUCAUUCCAAACUGUGAAUAAGUGAGCUGACACUCAAAGAUAAAGACGUCGAAAGCCAUCUACCACAUUAGCGUAUCAGAAUGACAAUAACAAAAAUCAGACCGAUGAAUGACUUGACGAGAACACAGGGAAAUGGAUUACACAACAUUAUGAAUCCUCCUCAACCUUCCCACCUAGAUAUACUAAAGGGUACAGGCGGAAGUGGGUGUAGCCACAUUGGCUAGAAUGUGCUCCCCUAUGCACCCGAGUUUGAAGUCCCCCUCACACACUUAAGAUUAGUUUAAAGUAUAACAUCGCUUGUAUAACGAAGAACACGUGCAAUUUAAAAACAAAGAUAGAAAGUAAAGGAAUAAUAAUAUGAAUCUAAAGGAAAGAUUCAGCACAGCUCUCAACUAAAUCAAGGUAGUUUCCACUUGUAAAGCUUAAGCACUACCAUUUUGUUAAAGUUGAAAUUUUUCAUGGUACACUCGAUCAAAUGAACAAAUGGGUUACUUCAAAAUCUCGAAUAAACAUAUAAAUCCAAACAAUGUCAAUAAAAUCCCAGAAAAAUCCAUGACAUAUUUAUAGAAGCAUCAAUAUACACUAACAAAAAUUGAAACAAAAAAAAAAAACUAAGAUAAAAGUCAUCGGAAAAUACCCAGCCAUGGAUGAGCGGCGACGAUCAAGAGCCCAACUCAGAGGCAAAGCUUCCGUCUUGGAAGACCGCCGCAGACUUGCUGUUUCUCUCUCUCGCGCUCCGCUUCGUCUGCUUCGACACUGAGACCGAUCGACGCCCGAAGGACUUGGGGUUUUUAUAUUUAAUUCUACUUUGUUUUUCAAUUUACUAUUUUAAUUUACAAAAAAUAAGAAAAAGUAAGGACUAAUAUUAUAUAUUUUUUUAAAUAUUGCUUUUGAAUUUUGAAACCGCGGGUACUGUUUCUUAAACAAUAUUGUAUUGUAUUUUUGUUUUAAAAAAUUAAAGUUAAUUUGAGAGUCGGAUCAAUAAAAAGACUAAAAUGUAAAAAUUCUAAACAUAAGUGUCAAUUUAUGAAAAGUAAAAACCCAGAAUAUUCCUAAAAUUAUGUUUGGGCCCCGUAGAAUGACUGGACCGGGCAGUAGUGAAUAGUAAAGUGUCAAUCCGGCCAAUUCCAUUCCCAAUUUUCCCCAAAUUUCCCACUCUCUUCUGCGUUCGAAUACUGCAAUCCCUAAAACCGCCACCGCCACCGCCAACAUGAGCAGCAGAGCCAGAAACUUCCGCCGCCGCGCCGACGAUGACGAUGAUCAAAACGACGACGCAACCCCCUCAACGGCAACCACCGUCAAAUCCUCGUUAAAACCCUCUUCCGCAUCCUCCUCAAAGCCCAAGAAGCCACAGAAUCAAGGCCCGAAGCUCCUCAGCUUUGUCGACGACGAAGAAAACGCCGCCGCGCCGUCCCGCUCCGCGCCAUCUUCCAAACGCGAUAAGCCCUCUUCUCGUCUGGGCAAGCCCUCUUCAGCUCAUAAGUUGACGGCUCUCAAAGACCGUCUCGCUCAUUCGUCUUCUGUAUCGACUUCUCUGCCGUCCAACGUUCAGCCCCAAGCCGGAACCUAUACGAAAGAAGCGCUCCGUGAGCUGCAGAAGAACACGCGAACCCUAGCCAGCUCCCGACCCUCCUCCGAACCCACCAUUGUUCUGAAGGGCCUUGUCAAACCCACCGACUCAAUCUCCGAUACGCUGAGAGAGUCACGGGAGUUGGAUUCCGAUUCCGACGAGAAGCAUGAGAAGGAAAGGGGUAAUUUGUUUAGGAGGGACAAGGACGAAGCAGAGGCCCAAUUGGCCUCGAUGAGAAUUGACAGGGGCAAGAGGUCACCUGGGUUGUUUCCUGAUCAAGCCACCAUAGAUGCCAUUCGGGCCAAGAGGGAACGGCUCAGGAAAUCGAGGGCAGCGGCUCCGGACUUUAUCUCAUUGGAUUCAGGGAGUAAUCAUGGCGCUGCAGAAGGGUUGAGCGAUGAGGAGCCAGAGUUUCGAGGUCGAAUUGCAAUGUUUGGGGAUAAGAUGGACGGUUCUAAAAAGGGUGUUUUUGAGGAUGUUGAUGAUGGGGUAGUGGAUGCUGGAUUGAGGCAGGAAAGCGUCGAUCAGGAUGAGGAAGAGGAUGAGGAUGAGGAAGAUAAGAUUUGGGAAGAAGAGCAGUUUAGGAAAGGGUUGGGGAAGAGGGUGGAUGACGGGGUGGUCAGCACUAGUGCUCCUGCAAUUCCGAGUGUGCCCCAACCAAAGACUACUUACUCUGCAAUGACGGGUUAUAGUUGGUCAGAGAGUAUGCCUCUUGGGACAAGUAUAGGAGGGGCAAUUGGAGCUUCACAAGGUUCAAAUGUGAUGUCCAUAAAGGCACAGGCGGACACUGCUAGAAAAGCUUUGGAAGAAAAUUUCACGAAGCUUAAGGUAUGAAUUGUUGCUUUUCUGGUCAAGUUGAAUUUUAUAUCGAAAUCUGUCAUAGGAUGAAUAAUUGAGUGAAAUAUUGGCUUCUAGUAAUGUGGUCGUGUAUGUUGCUCUUAACUUUAGUUUCAGCUCACUAGUUAUGGUUUUAAUGCAUGGAUAGAAUGACAUUUUGUUACUUUCCAACAGCUUUUUGUGGCAUUACUGCAUUUGACAAUAAGAACAAAUGUGAACCAUAGAAUGCAUACCUGAAUAUAUGAGCCAUACGUUUGGAAACAAAAAUUCUGCCAAUGUGAGGAGACGCAUUGAUGCUGCCAUGAUAUAUGUACAUUGUAUUAUUUUCUGCGUUUAUAGCAUUUUCAUAUAUAACUAUGUACUCAAAUAUGUUUUGAUCCCUCAGGCAAGUCAUGGAAGAACCAUUUUGUCACUAACUAAGACUGACGAAAAUUUGUCGGCCUCACUGUUGAAUAUUACUGCUCUCGAGAAGUCUCUGUCUGCUGCUGAUGAGAAGUACCAGUUCAUGCAAAAGCUUCGCGAUUUUGUCUCUGCCAUAUGUGACUUUCUGCAGGUAUGCUAGUGUAAAAUAAACCCAGAAAUUUUCUUUUGCCUCCCCUCUCUGUCUAUAGAGAUGCAUUUAAGAAUAAUUUCAUAGGAGUACAGAUGAGGGGAGAAUGGAAACUCACAGGGCCAUUUGUCUGAAAUGAUUGUUAUAUUAUUUUCUCCCUGUGAGAUGAGCACUUCCGUCCACAUUUUGCGAGUUAUAUUCCAUCAUUUAGUACUGUAUGAACAGUUCAUAUACUGAUUAAUUUCUUCUGAUACCAAUAUGGAAUGCCAACUGGAGGGCAUUUCAUUUAGGAUUCUGCUCGAACCAAGGACUUUAAACUGUUGCAGAAUGCAAUGCGCCUGAGUUUUCAAGCUACCUGGCAGUAUAGAUGAAUCAUUGGCUAUUCAAUACAUUUGCAUAUGAUACACAUUAUAAUUCACUCUCUUGCUGAGGACUUAUCGCCAAAAAGUAGGAUACUGUAGGAGGAAUUUGAAAUGGCCAUAACUUCCCAUUGUUAAUAUCAAAAGGGAUUAAUUUCUAGUUUCGUGUUCUUAUAUAAAAAUGUAGACUUAUCUGUUCUUUCCCUAGGACCUUUUUCCCUAAGAAACAUGGCUGAGAAAGUUAACACUGCUUCUUGAAAGGAAACUGGCAGUGGCCCUUCCCAGAUUAGCAGAUAGCAAUUUAUUUAUCCUUGGAAAUUCAAGCAAAGUUGAGGCAACCGCACAAAUGAUUGAUUAAUAUUCCACUGUAGCAACCACAUUUUAACUCUCGUAGGAACAGUUUAACUGUAUAGAAUGAAGGCGCUAACUCAACAUUGGUUACUAUUGAGUAUUGAUAUUCUAUUGGCUUAUCCUUACUGUGUUUAACUGUUUAUUUCAUUUUCUAAAAGAACAUAUUUUUGAGACGUGCCUUAUGACUUCUAGUAUCUACUCAAUGCAUCUUCUUCUAUUUCCAACUUUUCAAUCCCGGUAAGAGCAACAUAUCAUGUUGAUCUGAACUUAUGUAUUCCUGUAAUUCUUCAUUUUCAGGUUAAAGCUCCCUAUAUAGAAGAGCUUGAAGCGGAAAUGCAGAAAGUUCAUGAACAACGUGCCUCAUCUACUAUGGAAAGGAGAAAUGCUGAUGAUGAUGAAAUGAUGGAAAUAGAAGCAGCUGUAAAAGCAGCAAUGUCUAUCAUCAGUAAAGAAGGUAGCAGUGCUGAAAUAAUUGCAGCUGCUAAAAGUGCAGCACAAGCUGCAUCUACUGCUGUGAGAGAACAAACUAAUCUACCAGUGAAGUUAGAUGAAUUUGGUAGAGAUAUGAACCUUAAGAAACGUAUGGAUAUGAAAGUGAGGUAUGAGGCUCGACAACGCAGGAAAAGAACGUGUGAAUCUAAGAGACUGUCAGCCAUGGAUGUGGACAGUUCCCAUCGAACAAUAGAAGGAGAAUCAAGCACCGAUGAGAGUGACAGCGAGAGUCAAGUAUACCACAGACACCGCCAGUUGGUGCUCGACACUGCAGGUAAAGUAUUCGAUGAUGCAGCAGAGGAAUAUUCUCAACUUUCAGUGGUCAAAGAAAGGUUUGAAGACUGGAAGAGAGAGUAUGCAUCAAGCUACCGUGAUGCUUACAUGUCUUUAAGUGUUCCUACUAUCUUCUCUCCAUAUGUGAGACUGGAGCUUUUGAAGUGGGACCCCCUCCGUGAUAAAACAGAUUUUCUAAACAUGAACUGGUACUUGUUCAUAAAUUCUCAGUUUUUUAUUUAUUUCACACCUCUAGAAAGAACACUGAAGCACACAGAAGUAGUGCUGCUCGCAUACUCACAUCCUUCUAUUAAUGUUCUUUUCUUCUGUUCAGGCAUUCAUUGUUAAUGGACUAUGGUUUACUGGAGGAUGGAAAUGAUUUGGCAUCAGAUGAUGCUGAUGCUAACCUUGUCCCUGAUCUGGUGGAAAAGGUUGCUUUACCCAUUUUACAUCACCAAGUUGCUCACUGUUGGAACAUUCUCAGUGUGCGAGAGACCAAGAACGCAGUUGCUGCCACAAGUUUGGUAACAGAUUAUGUUCCACCUUCUAGUGAGGCCCUUGCUGAUUUAUUAGUUGCUGUUCGCACCCGUCUGGCUGAUGCUGUCACAAAUCUUACGGUACAAUUUUUGAAUUAUCAAACUAAAAUUUUAAGACAUUUAAUCAGGCCUAUGCAGGGAUGUGUUUUAAAUAUUUAUGCAUUAGGGUGGUGUUAUCCACACACCCAUCUCAAUUUCUAGCCGUCGGAUUGAAUGAAUUGAAGAGGAUGAAAGGAAAAAAAAUUAACAGGCGGUGUGUGGAAGGUAAAAAGUGGUGUGUGGAUAGCACCACUCAUGCAUUGAGCAUGUACAUUUUAUGUAAGUGAUCUAAUUUAUAUUUUCCUUCCCUACCUGUCCACUCUAGAUUCUAAGUCUGAGAAACUAUGAACCAUGAGCUUACACUGACCUGAUGUUGAUUAAUUUUGAUUGUUUCCAAUGUAUAGGUCCCAACAUGGAGCCCAAUUGUAUUGACAGCAGUGCCAGAUGCGGCACGGCUGGCAGCAUAUCGAUUCGGUAUGUCUGUUCGUUUAAUGAAAAAUAUCUGCUUGUGGAAAGAAAUCCUUGCUUCUCCCAUUUUAGAGAAGCUUGCUAUUGAGGAGCUGUUGUGUGGUAAAGUUCUACCUCAUGUUCGAAGCAUUGCUGCAAAUGUUCAUGAUGCUGUUACAAGAAUUGAAAGGAUUGUUGCUUCUUUAUCUGGGGUGUGGGCAGGCUCAAAUGUCACAGGGGACAGCAGGUAGUGCUUCAACUAACACAGAUUAAUUCCAUGCGUGAGUGUGCUUAUUAUAUGUGUGCAUGUUAAGUAUGAUAGUAUGAUUUUGCAAUAGUUACAUCUACGUCGCAUGUCUGUGAUACAUACUUGAGUUCAACUAAUGAUGUGAAGGAUGUGACACGUUGCUCCCAACUAAUAUGGUUCUUCAAAUUGACAAGAAAUAUAGGCUUCUCCUUUCUUUCCAUUCUCUACCUCCCUCAUCUUGUCCGAGGUCUUCCAUACCUUUACAGGGUAACGAACUUAGUACAAGUUGAGGCUAUUACCUUAUAAACUUUUCAUUGCGCAUAAAUGGUUUGGACAGAGUUGAACAUCAUUUUUAUCAUAUACCGGCUUUACAUUCCCUUCAAAGCAUAGCAAACUUAUUUACUUAAAAGAGUAGGAACUGCUAAGUCUAAUUAUAAUUUGUGAGAUGUCAAACUUAAAAUGCUUAGGCCUUCUGGAUUUUUUUUUUUUUUGCAUAAGUUUUCCUUCCCCCAUCUCCUUCCUUUGAGCUUCCUUUUUCGUUGUUUUGGUUUUUCCCUUAAGUUUUAUAUGUUAACCAAUAGAUGAGUUAAUAAAAUGACGAUUAUACAUUGGUGUACUUAUACUGCCCUUUACUACAUGUUCAAAGCUCUUAUUCAUUUGCCUAAAAAUUCAACUAUUGUGCAGCCGUAAGCUGCAACCGCUGGUGGAUUAUGUGCUCUCGUUGGGUAGGACUCUGGAGAAGAAGCAUUUGCUUGGCGUGACACAAAGUGAAACUGGUGGACUUGCCCGUAGAUUAAAGAAAAUGCUGGUUGAUCUGAACCAGUAUGACAAGGCUAGGGACAUAGCAAGGACUUUCAACCUUAAGGAGGCAUUGUGAAUCAUUAGAAGCCUGAAGAACUUCAAGAGAAGCACACAAAAAUUGUCAAGGGUUGCGGCUACAUUUUUGAGCUAUCCGUCUAGAUAGGCACUUCAAACAAACACAAAGUGCAAAUCUUUGACCUAAAUAUGAUGAAGUCUUAGAAGAUAACUCUGCCCCUUAUCCCUUUUACUUUAGUUCCCACACUGGGGGAGAUGCGCUUUGUGGCAUGAGUUCUAGGAGUUAGGUACACACUAGUUCUUAUUUUAUUUUCUUCCCCUACUUAUGAGGGCAUUAGGAUAUGAUUUUUUUUUUUCUUCAGAGAAGCGAUGUGUGAUCGUUGUAGGAUAUUUUUACGUCGUUUUCGCUUCCAAUACCUGUUGUCCUUGUGAAACUUUUGGAAUCGUCUGCUUUUACCCUGAUGCGAUAUCAAAGCGCUACUAAAGUUUGAGGCAAAUAUAUGAUCCCUUCGUAUCUACGCAUUGCUAGUACCAAUAAUACGGAGGAUAAUGUGUCGAUAGUCUACUCAUUGGUAAUACCAUACCAAUGGUACGGAUGAUGAUGUGUCUAUAGUGAUAAUACAUCAGUAUGUUUGCCGUGUUGAACUGUGAGACAAUGGUCGGAAUGGCUACGUGGUCCGACAGGGUGGUCCAAGGUUCUCUCCGUCUUUGAAAUAGUUCGAGGGAGGACAGCAGGAAGGGAAGUAGUUGGUUGGUCUGCUAAUUAGCCUUGUCUUAAAACAAUCUUAAUCACACCUACACUUCUUAAUCGCACCUUCUCAUCACUGUUAUAAAAAUCUCCGCCUAGCUCUAGGCGGCUAGUCACCUCUCCGAUUAAUGCCUAGGUGUUUGAAAAUUAAGAAAGGGCGCCUAGAGCUACUGAGGCGCCUGCCUAGACCUUCAAGACCUGUUUAGGUUGCGACUCACUUAUACAGAAAAUAGAUAUUUUUUAUUUUGCAUUUUAUUUUUUUAAUAAAUUAUAAGAGUCUUGUUGAAUACUUAAAUGAACACACAUUAUAUGUUUGUUUCCUAUGUUUUCAUUAUGUUUCAAUAGCUUAUAAUAUAUAUGUCAUUCUAUUUUGGAGUUUAUAAUGAAAUUAUAUGUAUUUUAAGUAUAAGUAGACACUUAUUUACACGAAAUAUAAUAGAUUUAAUUAAAUCCGUCUAGUAUGCCCAGGUGCCUGCCUAGGCGCUAGGUCCUAACCCGCCGCCCGACUAGUACCUAGCAUCUUUUAGAACCUUGCUCCUCACCCAAAAGUUUUCCCCUAAUAAUUAUGGCAACAUGCAAAACAUUAUUGUAAAAAAACACGUUGAUCGUGCCGAAUUGACACCAUGAUCUUAAACUUGGUGGUGUUCCAGAUCCCGAUCUGACACGUCGUGUUCAAAUGCUAACUGGUUGAGUAAUUAAAAGAGGUAAUUGAAUAGGAUAUUAGAAAGUGGAUGUGGAUUUGUAAGUUGAUUAGUUGGAAUUGGGUAUUAAUUAAAUACUAAUAUGGUUUUGGUAAACGUGCCGAUCCAGGAACAGUUUAAAACUAUCUCGUUGCUUAAUAAUUUUCACCAAAUGCCAUCUGCUUUGUCAAUAUUCUAUACAUUUUAGCAGCCCCCGCUUCAUCAACUUUCUCCUUUUCAUAUUCUAUAUAUAGCUUUUUUUAGUCGACGAAGUCAACUCCAAGUUUUUCAAUUCCAGUCGAAUGAUCUUUUUCAAAUUAUUGGUUCUGUAGGGCAAAAAUUAAGAAAAAUGUAUAAAAAAUAAAAAUAAAUGUGUAAAUAUCACAACUCAAUUCAUUGACAGUAAUAACGUCGAGUGUAAUUAAUCACUUACGUUUUAUUGUUGAGAGAGGGUUCAAAAUGUCAAUGCCAAUAAAAUACAAAGUAUUGAAGAGAAAUGAAGAGAGUUCGUCGUCACAUUCCGUUGUGAAAUAACAUGAUAACGGGUUUAUUGCUUUAUUUAAGUCUGUUUUUCUAACUCCGAUGAGACGUCUGGGUCAUAGCACUAAAAGAAAAAUCUGCUAUUUCAUGAACAUUUUGGACAUAAAGUUUUUGUCGUCUUUUAUUCUUAUUAUUUUUGUCAACGUAAUUUGCUGAUUUCAUCACGUUUAGUUUUCAGUUUUUUGAUAUUUUUUAUUGAUGUAAGAAGUCGUGGUUCUUGGGAUUUUUGAAAUUGUUUUGUAAUGUAGGCUCCACUGAGAUGAUGUUACUUAAUAUAAGAUAAUCGGUAAAUUCAAGAUGUAGUCUUACACGCAAAGAAGGUUCCUGGAGAAUCGUUGUCCAUGGGAAAACGGCUAUUUAUGUAAUCAACAUAAUAUAUUUUACUCCUAAAAAAAACAUAUUUUGUCGAUUUUUUAGUUGAAUCAGUGAAGCACAUGUGGUACAAUAUUUUAUUGGUUAAAAUGUUGAGUAUCUAUCAAUAUAUCUCGAAUUCAAAACUCUCAUAUAUCUUAAAUUAUUGCAAUAUUUUUAAAUCUUCCUCCUUUUUUUUAAUAAUAAUAAUAAUAAUUAUUAUUAUUAUUUUAAAAAUUAGAAAAAAAAAGCUGAAUUAGUGAAGUCCCUUUAUCGUUUUUAGCGUAUUAAACAGCUAAUGUGAUUGGCUGCACUUUAAUUAUUUCCAUACAUUUUUUUAGUUGAAUUAGUAAAGUCCCUUGAUACUUUCUAGCAUAUUAAACUGUGUAGCCGAGAUGAGAAUGCUUAAUUGGAUGUAUGGAUGCAUAAAAAAGGAUAUGAUUACGAACGAGAUUAUAUGAGGUAAAGUAGGAGUGGCCGCAAUUGAAGAGAAAAUCUGAGAAAAUCACUUUAGGUGGUUUGGACAUAUGAACCGUUAGAAGAUGCAAUUAUGCGACAAAAGCUCAGGGCUAGGAAGACUUGAAAAGAGAUUCUAAUAAAAUACAUUGAGUACUUGGAGUUAAUGGAAGACUUGGUGCAAAACUGAACGUAAUAAUGUUCUAAGAUUCAUAUAAUCGACCCGACCAGUAAGAUAAAUUUUUUUUGUUGAUGUAUUGUUUUAGUACUAAUCAAACAAGUUACUCGGGUUCUAAUCAAACAAGUUACUCAUUGUUUGUUAAAAAAAACGAGUUACUCGUUGAAUACUCUUCAGCAAGCUGAACCUUAUGUAUCCAAAUUCGUUCUUUCAAAGAUAUCAAAUCCAUAUCAAACAAAGCCAUGGGAGAUUACGAUGAAGUCUUUGAAGAUACUUUAUCCUUAUCCCUUUUACUUUAGUUUACCCAAUGGGGGAGAUGUGCUUUGUGGCAUGCGUUGUAGGAGUUAGGUUUCUUAUAAAAGAAAAGGGAAAAAAAAAAAAAACACUAGUUCUCAGUUAUUUUCUUCUCCUACUUAUGUGAGAAUUAAGAAGUGAAUUUUUUUUUUUUUUUUUUAGAGCUGAUGUGAGAAUUCUAGCAUAAUUUUUACGUAGUUUUCGCUUCCAAUGCCUGUUAUCCUUACGUAAUUUUUGGAAAUCUUCUGCUUUUACCUUGAUUCGAUAGCAAUUAAAAUGCUACCAAAGUUUCAGGCAAAUUUACGAUCCCAUCCUAUUUAGUAUCUACCACAUUUGAUGAAGAAAAUCACAUAUGGGAUCAUCUACACGAUAAUACCAAUAAUACGAAUAAUGAUGUGAUAUUGAAUGGUAGGAUAAUGGUAGGAUAAUGGUAGGAUAGUGGUAGGAUUGGCUAUGUGAUCCGACGAGCUGGUCUAAGAUUCUCUUCGUUUUAAAAAUGGUUCAACACAUCCACUCGUACAUAAACAUUAUUAAUCGUUCCUUAUAGUUAUAGCACGUCUUAAUAAUGAAAGUUUGAAAUUAAAAUUAAAAUAAUGUUUACAUGUGCUAAACCCCAUGAUUGUUCUUUGUGGGGUCUUAAACUUGGUUGUGAUCCAGAUCCCAAUUUGGUACGUGAUAUCUUCAACUAGGCGGUGAUCCAGAUCCCAAUUCGAUUCGUCAUAUUCAAAUGCUAAUUAGUUGACUAAUUACCAAAUUUAAUAGGAUAUUAGAGAGCAAAUUUGGAUUUGUGUGGUGAUUAAUUAGAAUUCGUAGUAAUUAAAGACUAAUACGGUUUUGGUAAUCGUGCUGGUCCAGGAACAGUUCACCAAAUGCCGCUUCCAAUCAUUACCCUUUAAUCUCAUUCUUAAUUACUUUUUGUUGAUUAAACCUGACACAAUGAAGUGGAUAGGUUAUCGUAGUUUGAGUGGCUAACUGUAACGGUUAUCUUUUCUUGGUGGUCGAACCAUACCAACAAUUGUUGGAGAGAUUUUUCAACAUCAUUGAAAUACGGGGUGAUACAUCCUGUGUCAUUAUACAACGAAAACUUUAAUAAAAAAAGGUUUAAAAAAAAAAAUAUUUUAAUAAAAAACCAUCAUAUAGUUUUCUUUAAUCAAAAGCACCUCAAAGCUAACCGUAAGGACAUAUGCCCAAAUUCUAUGCGAGCUGGAUUACAGAGCCGGACAAAAAUAAGUUUCUACAAUUACCCCAACAGAAGGAAAACCCAACCCUUUCACCACCAAUUAACCAAAAACCAAAUCAAACCCCAACAUUAUUCAUUUCGAAUUCAACUAAACACACUGGGUCGUUCUUUCUCUAAGGAUCCUCUUCCUGAAGUUUCUAAUGUCGUAAAUAAUUAAGUGGUGUUCAAGUUGAAAAAAAAAAUCGAACCCAUUUUCUAAUAUCGUAAAUAAUUAAGUGGUGUUCAAGUUGAAAGUCCUAUUUUAAAUGUAUAAGUACCAUCAUAUUUCCAACUAGAAAAUACUCUUUGCCAGAUGGCUAGAAUGUAACAGUGGUUUCAUAUAUAGUGUGAGUUAUCUUGCUGUAGUUUCAAAAAUAGUGUAGGUUAUUUUGCUUCAGUUCUAAAAAUAAUGUGGGUUACUUUGGUUCAGUUUCAGAAAUAGUGUGGAUUAUUUUGCUGUAGUUUAAAAAAUAGUGAGUUAUUUUGUUGUAGCUUGAGAAAUAGUGUGAGUUAUAUUGGUUCAUUUCAGAAAUAGUGUGGGUUAUUUUGUUGUAGUUUCAGAAGUAGUAUGACUUAUUUUGCUGUAGUUUUAGAAGUAGUAUGGCUUAUUUUGCUGUAGUUUAUAAAUAGUGUGAGUUAUUUUGGUUUAAUUUCAGAAAGAGUGUAAGUAUUUUGGUUCAUUUCCAGAAAUAGUGUGGGUUAUUUUGCUGUAGUUCAUGAAAUAGUGUGAGUUAUUUUGGUUCAGUUUUAGAAAUAGUGUGAGUUAUUUUGGUUCAGUUUCAGAAAUAGUGUGAGUUAUUUUGCUAUAGUUUCAGAAAUCAUGAGAGUUUUUUUUUUCUUGGCUGUAGUUCCGAAAAUAAUGUGAGUUAUUUUGGUUUAGUAUUAGAAAUAUGGUGGGUUUUUUUGGUUCAGUUUCAGAAAUAGAAGCCAUUGUUCAUGUUUGUAAUUUCCCUUUCCUCAGUUUAAGUAAACUUAUUAAAUGUUAUAUAUAAAUGUCUAUUUACACAUAAAAAAAAACUAUAUUUGUAUUACGAAUUUGAGUUUAUUAGUUAACAUAGAACAUAUAAAUAUUAGAAUUUUAGAGUGUUUUACUUUAGUAUCUUAGUAAUUUGAUGGUAUGGUAUAAACUCAAAUGAUUACGAGUUUGUAGUACUUUACAAAAUAUUUUUCAAAAGUUGCAUGAAUUUAUACUAAAGUUUAAAAGAAUUAAUGAUGUUUUUACACGUGAAUAAUAUAAGACAUCAUGCAUGGCAUCACACCUCCCAAUUUUUUUGGUCGGCAUGUGUAUCACCUCCCAAUUCAUAGGACUUAGAUUGUCUGCCCUCCCAUUUCGGUGCCCUCCCCGUGCCCUCCUAUUUUGUGUGGUCACGGUUAAGCCACGUCAAUAUUUUAUAUUAUUUUUUUAUAAAAAUAAUAAAACAAAAAGAAAUAGUAAUAUAAAAUAUUGACGUGGUUUAACCGUGACCACAAAAAUAGGAGGGCACGGGGAGGGCACCACAAUUAGAGGGCAGACAAUCCAAGUCCCAAUUCAUAAGUCCUUGAGUUAAUAGGAUGCUAGGUGGCGGAAGCUCAUGGGAUUACAAUUACGGAAGAAGACAUUGUUUGUCACGUGGGAGAGAGAAAAUAAGAAGACUUUCUUUAUGAAUUUUCUGUCAUAGGUUAACGUCAAAUUUUCGUGUCACUUUAUAGUUUAACAUCACUUUUUCGCGUUAAUAUUAUAAAAUAUUGUACUAAAAAUAUGAGAUGACAGAGAAUAUUUAGAGGGGUUUCUAUUUUGAUACUCCAACUCCAACCCCAAAAUCAAAGAUCUAGAAGACCAUUUUUAUACCGCAAAAUAUCAACAUUACCAGUUAAAUAACAUUAAAAAAAAAAUAUCAGAUUUGCAGGCAAAUAUAUAUAUAUAUAUAUAUAUGUUGGUCCUAGAAAAAUAUAUUUCAAAUGUUUUUGCAAGUACAACCCAUGCUAGUUGUGUAAAGCGGAAUGAAAUCCACUCCGGGUUUGUGCUCGGAGCUCGCGCAAUGAGAGAUUUGGAACGUUCAAUUUCAAUACUAAGGCUCCUAUUAGCGCAUUUCAUAGACCCACUUCACAAAAGAGCAAAAGCUUGAAUAAUUCGGAUUUCUUUUUUUCUCUUAAACUGUCAAGAUCUCUUGCUCCGUAGGCUCUAAACGCAAAAAUCCAGAGUAGACCUCAUUCCGUGUAAGGGCCACACAAGACACAUGUGGUCUCCCUUUAUUUAUUGGGUAAGAUUAGUCGGACCCACUGUAGCAUAGCUGUACACUAUCAUUGUUUCUAGACGAUAAACAAUUUUGAAUGUGCUGGCAAUUAUGUAAAUUUGACCAAACUGAAAAUGCAAGGAGGGAAAAAAAAAUACAAAAACUUCAUACUCAUCCGAUCAAAUUCAAGGCACCUAGUUGCGACAGAAACAAAGAGAAUUCAUCGUCGCAUGACAUUUCAUAAUAUCAUGAUAAUGAUAAACCCGUUUUGUAUAAGUCUGUUCCUUUAUCUACAAGGAGACUUGUGGAUGUUAACUCAGUUGCCAAACUUUGUUUGUGGCUGUGGGUUUUAGCACUAAAGGGAAAAUCUGUUAUUUCAUGAUCAAUUUGGACAUAAAGGUUCUGUAGUCUUUUAUUAUUAUUUUUGUUAUUGUAAUUUGCUGAUUUCAUGGAUCAUGUUUAGUUUUUCAGUUUAUUGAUAUUUUUUUUAUUGAUGACAGAAACUUGUGGUUCUUGGGAUUUUGUAAAUUCUUUUUGGAAUAUAUAGGCUCUACUGGGAUGAUGAUUCAUAUCGUGAUUCAUGUGUGUUUAACCCAGUUAUUGGAGAAUAAUUAAUUUAUGUAACCGACUUGAUAUUUUAUACAUUUUUAGUUGAAUUCGUGAAUUCCCUUGGUAGUUUCUAGCGUAUUAAACGGCUAAAGUGACUGGCUGCACUGUAAUUAUUUUAUAUGUUAGCAUCAAGGUUCUAAAAGACGUCAAACGUUAAGCGGGCGGCGGAGGACUAGGACCUAACGUCUAGACGGAACCCUAAACAACUAGGCGGAUUUAAGUAAACUUAUUAUAUAUUGUGAAAUAAGUGUUUGUUUAUACUUAAAAAGUACAUAAUUGUAUUGAGAUACAUAAGUUGAAAAAUAGAAUGAUAUAGAUUAGAAAGUAACAUAACAUAUUGAAAGCAUGGGAACCAGAAUAUAAUGAGUGUGUAUCCAAGUAUUCAACAAGUCUUUUACAAUUUAUUAAAAAAAUAAAAUGCAAAGUGAAAGUUAUCUAAUUUCUAUCUAAGUGGGUGCCUAGGUCUAGGCAGGCGCCUAGACGGGUUAGGCGGGUGCCGAGAUGGGUUAGGGUGGUGCCUAAGUAGGUCUAGACACAAUUUCUUAAUUUUCAAACGCCUAGAGGCCAAUCAGGGGUGACACCAGCCGCCUAAGUCCGGACCAACCGUCUAGCGCUUAGGAGGGACCUAAGCGGCGCUACGCGGGGAUUAUUAGAACAGUGAUCAUUACUAAUUAAUCAAACAAGUUACUCAUUGCAUAUUCUUCAGCAAACUGACCUCGUUGUGUAUCCAGAUGAUUUCUUUCAAAUACAUCAAGUCCAAUGGAGUUAUCAUACAUGCCCAGAUGCUCACCCAAGACCAACAUUUUAUUAUCCAGAUUCCAACUUGAUAUGUCUAGAUUUGAUUAAUGCUGAUUAGGAUAUUAGAGAGUGACGUUGGAUUUGUAUGCUGAUUGGUUGGAACUUGGAAUUGAUGUUAAUUAUAGACCACAAUUGUGAGAUCUAAAACUUUUGAACACCACGAUUGUGAGAUCUAAAACUUGGUGGCCCUGUCCAUCUGGGUGGGUGAAAACCAUGUGGAGGAUUCCUUUCUUGCUGCUUCUAAUCUGGGAGGUGUAGGUGCGGUAUUUCGCGAUGAAGCCAGUAAUUAUGCUGGAGGCUUCAUUUGUCAAAUAUCCCCUACAUUGAAUCGCACGAUGGUGGAGUUACUAGCUCUCCGUGAUGAUGUUUAUUGGGUUGUGCAACGGAACUUGCCGCAAAUUAUUGUGAAAAGCGAUUCUUUGCAGGUUGUUCAAGCUAUUGGAAGCUUAAAGCAGGGGUCUUCACACAUGGAUUUAUUAGUGGAAGACAUUCGAGCUAGCUUGCGGAUCUUUGAGGAUUCGCAGGUUUGUUAUGUUUGCCGUACCACCAAUGUCGCAGCUCAUUUUGUAGCCAAGUUGGCUAUUUCUUAUACCUCUAAUUUUUGUUGGUUUGAGGAGCCUCCAAACUUGAUGGUGGAGACCCUCUUAGAAUCUGUAUGAGAUUUUUCUAUCUUAAUAAACCACUACCGUUUCAACUCAAAAAAAAAAAAAAAAAAAAAAAACUUGUUUAUCCACAUUCCAAUUUGAUAUGACAUAUUUGAAAGCUGAUUAGUAGGAUAUUAUAUAGAGUAAAUUUGGAUUUGUAUGCUAAUUAGUCGUAACUUGGAAUUGAUGUUAAUUAUAGACUAUUAAGGUAGGGUGAUUUGAACUCACGAUGUAAGUGCAUUAAAGAGAAAAAUUCUAAUUAUGGCAAUCCAUCAUCUAUAAUUACGGACUAAUAUGCUGUUCGUGCUGAUUAAGAAACAAUUUUAUUUUGUUGAUUAAUCAAUUUUACAAUAAUUGUAACCAAAUGCCACGUACAUUUUUAUAUAUUAGUAGCUGAGUUAUUUUGACGAUCGUGCCUCUUACACUACAAGAAGUAAACUCCAAGUUUUUCAAUUAAGUAGUUGUAUUAUUGCUGAAGAAAAUUCAAAAUGUCACUACUGAUUAAUUAUAAGAGUGCAACACUGACCCUACGACCAAAACCAAAACAAAAACGUUAAAACAAAGAACAAAAUACAAAAGAAUAAUCAACGUAAUCGGCAUUUCAUUUUUUUCCCUUACGAGGAUGAUAUGCCAUACAGUUUAAAGCACAUGGUUUUAAUUUAAAUAGAAAAGUAGAAUGAUGAGGAUGGUUAAUGGUAUUUUAUGGACCUAUGAUAUAAUAUUAUCAAUUAGUAAAAACACUUAUUACAACACAAACAUAUUAUUGAUAUCAUUUGGUAUCAUGAUUGUCACAUAAAAAAAUUACUCGCUAUUUUCCUAAUAUUUUUCUUUUCAAAUGCGUAUGCAAUAUAAUUAACAUUAAGCGGUAUAAUAUUUGAUCGUAGAAGAAUUACAAUGCACAUGCAAUAUAGCAUUAAAAGAAAAAAUAGUAUUUCAUCCUAGCUAGAAUAAACAUUAAUACGAGGAAAACUUUCUCUAAUGAUCAAUUUCAAUUGUACCAACGUAACGAAUUUGAAUGCAGAGUUAAAAUAAUUUAAAGACAUGCAAAUCAACCAAUAUAUUCAACCACUAAAACAACAUUUACUUGAGCCACCUAUACAGAUCAACAUCGCGACAAUAUAAAGCAAUAAAUUCAUACCGAAACAAAAUAAAAAACUCUCAUAGUACAAAACACAUAGCAACUUAAGCCCAAUUUCUGUACUUAAUUUUUUUUCUAAAAACAUACUAAAAACUAAAAAUCUUAAAACUCACAAAUAUUCAUGUACAUGUGCAAAACCCAUGUAGUAUCGCAAAAAUUCACGCUAUUAUAUAUGUACUCAAUAAGCGUUGUAUGCAGGGUCAACUUACCAUAUACAUCUUAGUUGAUAAGCUCCUUCUUAAUUACUUUUUGUUGAUAAAAUUAACUCCUUAAUUACCUUUUGUUGAUAAAUUCCUGAAGCUGUGAAGUUGGUCAUUGCAGUCCGAUCAAGCGUCUAACUUUAACUUUAACCGAUUUCUUGUAUUGAUGGUCGAAGCAUGAUAACGAUUAAUUCAUCACACCUAACAACGUUAACGUUUAUGCACAAAAUGAUGUUGUAGGUGAAGAAGUUAAUGUUCUACCAUAAAACUAAUUGACAAAAAUGGGGAAUAGUCUAACUACUUAUAAGCACAUGCAAAAUCUUUUCUUUCAUCAACGUGGGAUUCAUUCUCAACUGUAUGUGCCUUGGUUGGUGAAACUUUAAACUUCGAACAAUUAAGGUAGCCUAUUGUGAGGCUUGGCCGACUCCUAAUGUCCACUCCUUUAAUGUAAAUACCGUUUGUUAAAGAAAAAGUAAAUUAACUUUCACACACGUUAAAUAUGUGCAGAAAAUGAUGUGCAGAUGAUAUGGUUUCUGAAACCAAAAAUAACAGAGACGUCAAGAAAACUUCACUUUUGCUUGACUUUUUUCUAUUUAGGUAGAGCAUAUUUAUUAACAAAUUGAUUGUAUUGUGUAGAAUCAUUUGGAGUUCAGACUUUAUACUUCUAGUCUAGAAUUGGUUGAUCUCCUGAAUUUUAGAUUUCCAUUCGAAGUUGUAAAAGAUCAUUUAUGAGCACUACUUGGCUCCAUAAGAUUUUGGAGGAACUCCUCCUUAAAAUAGUUCGUGGCCGAUUCGUGAACUUCAUGCUUAUUUUAGAAUAGUUCCAUUAAUUUUUUUGUAAAAAUUAUCUAUUAAAAAAGUUAAUUAAAAUUAAGUUGUUUAGUCAAUGUAUUGUAAUAAAUAAAUAUACGGUUUAUAAUGUUUUACAGAUUCCAACUUUAUAUUUUUUAUCCAUGCAUUCUGGAUUCGAAACUCCACAUCCCUUAAAUUAUUGUAAUAGUUUCGUACUCUUCCCAUCUUUCUAAUAAUAGUAAAAAAAUAAAUUAAAGAAUGACUAAACAAUCCCUUUUUUUUUUAAGGGGGACAAUUGGUGGCAAGCCAUGAUUCCAUUCCUGUAAAACCCGGAGAGGCUAUAGGGAAUUUCACCAUACCCAUGGCUACAGUCAAACAGACCCAUCAGCUCGGAGUAUCGAACCUAGCUAGGAGUAGGACCUCUCACAUUUUUUUUGUUUAGUCAAUGUAUUGUGAUAAAUAAAUAGACAGUUUAUAAUGUUUUACGAAUUCCAACUUUAUAUUUUCUAUUCAUGCAUUCCGGAUUCGAAACUCCACAUCCGUUAAAUUAUUGUAAUAGUUUCGUACUCUCCCCCUCUCUCUAAUAAUAGUAAAAAAAAUUUUAAAAAUGACUAAAAAAUCUCAUAUUUUUUUCUUUUUUUAAGGGUAACAACUGGUUGCAAGUUAUGGUUCCACUCCUGCAAAGCCUAGAGAGGCUAUGAGAAAUUUCACCCUAAUGAUGGCCACAGUCAAACAAACUUACCAGCUCAAAGUAUCAGACCCAGGACCUCUCACAUUUUUUUUGUUUAUUAGACAGUUAUCGUCCACGCUCUUACCACUGGACCACUUAUUAUGGCUAAUCUCAUAUUUUAUUGAGUUUUGCAUGAAAUUCUUUUUUUGAAUCAUUCAUGAUAUGUACGCUUUUAAUUAUAAAUAGAAAGUUUUAUGACUAUCGAUUCCAGUAAUUAAAUCUGUAAACUCAAAAGAGGAACCUAGUUAUUGUAAAACCAACAAAAAAGAAUCAUAUUAGUUUGCAUGCAAUUUUGUUCCUGAGAAUAAUUUUAUAUUCUAGUGGAUAAGCUGACGUCACACUGUUCUGCUUUAUACUUUUUGACAGUACUGCACACUGCUGUACAAUAUCAUGUUUUCAAAAAAUAAACAUUUUUGAAUGGGAGGCAGAUUCUUUGCUCUUUCAUUUUCGUGCCCUUCUGUUUGUGUGGUCACGGUUAAAUCAUAUUAAUAUUUUAUAUUACUAUUUAUUUUUAUCUUAUUAUUUUUAUAAAAAAAUAAUAUAAAAUGUUAACGUAAUUUAACGGUAACCAUACAAAAUAGAAGAACAUUUUUUUUGAAUUUGCUAAUUGAAUACUGCAGAUAGGAAUCACAUAAAAGCUGAAAACUUCGUUCAUUUUAAAAAAAAAUUUAUUUAUUGAAAGCUACGGCAUCAUUCAUCAUUAGCAUAAACGGUGCAAAGAACCGCAGUACAAAAGAAACUGGCAAGAAAGAGACCAGCUAAUCAGAAACUACAUUCAGUAAGUAAUAUAAAAUCAUAAAAAGACAAGGGCGAAGGCAGGCAGACUCGUUUCGAAGCCCCUGGCUGCAGGCAGGCUUGUAGUUGUAGAUAGUCUUUUAUUAAAUUAAAUUAUUAACCAUGCAGCCAACUUUAUUUCCUUGUGGCUGUGGGGUUCGACUAGAAGGAAAUGUUGGAGUAUUUUGAAGUCCAAAGAAACUUUUAUUAAAUUAAAUUAUCAACCAUGUCGCCAACUUUAUUUCCUUAUGGCUGUGGGGUUCACACUAGAAGGAAAUGUUGGAGUAUUUUGAAGUCCAUAGAAACAUGAGACUUUGCGUGUGCUUAUAAGUAGUUGAUCUAUCAAUUCUCAUAUUUUCAAUUGGUUUUAUGAUGAAACUUCAAUUUUUUUCACGUUAUCAAAGUUGGUUGUCCCUUGUGUGAAGCUCUACAUGUUCUCCAUGUCCUCGAUUUGUGUUGUCCACUUAUUUGACUUGAAAAGUCUUCACACGUGAAGGAGCGCGUUAAUAGUUAAGGCCCAUUCUAGUUAUUUAAUAUAUAGUUGUACUAAUCAAACACCUUGAUUGUAUUCUAGUCGGUCAAGAGUGUAGAACUUGUAUCGUGCAAAGAUCAUAUAUCAAGUUAGCAGUGAAAAUGGAAUUGGAAAUGCUGGGGUUCAUUUGGACAAGUUAAUUAGUAGUGCAAAGAUCAUAUAUCAAUUUGACAUUAUAAUAUAUUCAAUAUUAUAAUGUCAAAUUGUUUGUUUAGACUACUACAAUCCAUAUAUAUGUCAAAGAGAAAACGGAAGAAAAGAAACGCGUUUCAAAUGACACCUUACAAGCAAUUAUUUCAGAGACAUGCAAAGUAUUAGUCAUCUAAAGUACGUUCAUGUUUGUUUGUUAGGGUUGUGAUAUCCACACAUCCAUUUUACUUCUUACACACCUUUUUAAUUUCAACCGUCGGAUAUGAUGAAUUGAAGAAGAUCAACGGACAGAAAUUAUCCACACACCCUUUUCGUUAAUGUUACAAACUGAGCCUCAUUAUCAUAUCCAAAUACCUAGGAUCUAUCUUGCAAAAGAACGGAGAAUUAGAUGGAGAUCUCAACCAUAGAAUACAAGCUGGAUGGAUGAAGUGGAAGAGUGCAUCCGGCGUGUUGUGUGACCGUCGUAUGCCACUGAAGCUCAAGGGAAAAUUUUAUAGGACGGCAAUAAGGCCGGCGAUGCUGUAUGGCACAGAAUGUUGGGCGGUGAAACAUCAACACGUACACAAAAUGGGUGUAGCGGAGAUGAGGAUGCUUCGUUGGAUGUGUGGGCACACGAGAAAGGAUAAGAUUAGGAAUGAGGAUAUCCGGGGUAAAGUAGGAGUAGCCGAAAUUGAAGGAAAGAUGAGAGAAAAUCGGUUACGGUGGUUUGGACAUGUGCAAAGAAGGCCUACUGACGCUCCGAUUAGAAGAUGCGACUAUGGGACAGAGGUUCAGGGCCGAAGGGGUAGAGGAAGACCUAGGAAAACUUUGGAAGAGACUCUAAGAAAAGACUUAGAGUACUUGGAUCUAACGAAGGACAUGACACAGGAUCGAGCACAAUGGCGUUCUAAGAUUCAUAUAACCGAUCCCACUCAGUGACUUGGAUUUUCCAAGUCUCCAAUCAAGAAGUUUUCCUCACUCGGGAAAUUAAAGGAACACUACCCCAACCUACAUGCUCCACUCAGAAAGCUUCAACAUACAAGCUUCAACAUACAAGCUUCAACAAAAGAAAAUUCAAAGAACUUAGCGAAGAAGGCUUUGGUGUAUUUAACACAAUACGUUGAAAUGAAGGAAAGCUUAUUUAUUGAUAUCCCCGAUAAGCUACAAAUAUGUACAUAUACAUGAGUCAAAAUAAACACACAAGAGGGAGCCUUCACAAAGGUUGCUUAGGAGAAGUCUCAGCAGUCGGUAGAGCCCCAGAAAGAGAAGGCACCGGAGGGGGAUCAUUUGGAGCCUCAGUACUGGACAGAACCCUAGGAGGAGGAGGCAUCAGAGGUUGAUCAUUUGGAGCUUCAUUACGCGGUACAGCCCCAGAAGACGAAGGCAAUAAAUGCCUUUGGAACAAACCCACAAAUCUCUGAUGAUCAAGUAAAACCUGACCAUCAGUUUCCUUCAUCUGGUCAAGCUUCCUCUUCAUGUUUGUAGCAUAGUCAUGUGCAAGCCGGUGCAACUGUUUAUUCUCAUGCUUGAGCCCUCUAAUCUCCUGUUUGAGACUCAUCACUUCAGCCGCCAAUGAUUUAACUUGGCGGGUUCGAGCAAAUAGGCGUUGGGCCAUAUUAGACACAGAACCUGCACACUGAACACUGAGAGCCAGCGAAUCCUUAACAGCUAACUCAUCAGACCGUUUGGAAAGUAGUCUGUUAUCUUUGGGAGUGAGAAGGUUCCUGGCCACCACCGCAGCGGUCAUAUCAUUCUUCAUCACGGAAUCCCCAACGGUAAGAGGACCAGUUGGGGAGACGAAGGAUGGGCGCCAUAUGUUGUCUGGAGAAGGCGGGGCUGCCUCUUCAACAAGGUUCAAGUCAAAACGACGGUCGGAGGGGCCAGACAUUUUCAAAGGUGUUGAAGAGAGAAGAGGUCGGACAAAUCAAGAUAUUAGAAGUGCAAGAAUGAAGCUUCUACUGGUGGAGAUUCAAGUGUGCUUUGGAACUUAAUGCCAGCCUCUAUAAAAAUCUGCACUCGACGGAGCUUCAGAAAUCAAAGAGGCGCCCUGCUCAGAAAUCGAAGAGGCGUUUGCUUUCUUAAAAGUUGGGCUGCUUAGAGAUCACGAGGGUUGAUCUCAGAAAUCGAAGAGCCGUUUGCUUUUCUCAAAAGUUGGGCUGCUCAAAGACCACGAAGGCCGAUCUCAGAAAUCGAAGAGGCGCUCGCUUUCUCAAAAGCUGGGCUCCCUAGAGACCACGAGGGCCGAUCUCAGAAAUCGAAGAGGCACCUACUUUUCCAGCCUUGUCAGCACCUGUCACACGCACACUCAGCUUUGCGGAAAUUAUGGGCAUUCUGUCAAAGACUUCUGGGGAAGUAGAAAACACAUGAAUCUUACUGUUCAAUCACCCACUUCCCACACGCAACAAUAGCUCAUGGGUACCACAGAUAACUUUGCCAAAGUUCUCUGCCAAAGUUGAGCACGUGAAGCUUGCAGCUCCCACUACAUCGCUCUGACCAAGAAGGGUAAAAGAAUAGCAAAGAAACAGCACUAACAAAGUUUAGACCCAUAAAUUUUGAAGGUCUAGCUACCAUAUUAUUACCCACAAGGGUAAAGGAAUAGUACCACUGCUGGAUAAUUGGAAAGUCCAUGUAUGUCAACCUCUGUGCUUCGUGGCAAGGUAGACUAGCAAACAUGCCCAACCUUUACUCACAUUCGAGAAAACACUCCCAAUAAGAUUGCUUGCUCCAAAAUCGAAGAGGCACCGUCCUCCGAAUCUAAAGAGCCAGACUCCUAACAUGACUACUUUCUUAAAAAUCGAAGAGCGGGUAAAGGAACAGUACCAUUGCUGGAUAAUUGGAAAGUCCCUGUGUGUCAACCUCUGUGCUUCGUGGCAAGGUAGACUAGCAAACAUGCCCAACCUUUACUCACAUUCGAGAAAACACUCCCAACAAGAUUGCUUGCUCCAAAAUCGAAGAGGCACCACCCUCCGAAUCUCGAGAGCCACUCUCCCAACAUGAUUACUUUCUCAAAAAUCGAAGAGACACUGCUCCCCGAAUCUCGAGAGCCAGACACCUAGCAUGAUUGCUUUCUCAAAAAUCGGUGAGGCACCGUUCUCCGAAUCAAUCGAAGAGGCGCUCGCUUUCUCAAAAGCUGGGCUGCUCAGAGACCACGAGGGCCGAUCUCAGAAAUCGAAGAGGCACCUACUUUUCUAGCCUUGUCAGCACCUGUCACACGCACACUCAGCUUUGCAGAAAUUAUGGGCAUUUUGUCGAAGACUUCUGGUGAAGUAGAAAGCACAUGAAUCUUACUGUUCAAUCACCCACUUCCCACACGCAACAAUAACUCAUGGGUACCACAGAUCACUUUGCCAAAGUUCUCUGCCAAAGUUGAGCACGUGAAGCUUGCAGCUCCCACUAUAUCGCUCUGACCAAGAAAGGUAAAAGAAUAGCAAAGAAACAGCACUAACAAAGUUUAGACACAUAAAUUUUGAAGGUCUAGCUACCAUAUUAUUACCCACAAGGGUAAAGGAACAGUACCACUGCUGGAUAAUUGGAAAGUCCCUGUGUGUCAACCUCUGUGCUUCGUGGCAAGGUAGACUAGCAAACAUGCCCAACCUUUACUCACAUUCGAGAAAACAGUCCCAACAAGAUUGCUUGCUCCAAAAUCGAAAAGGCACCGUCUUCCGAAUCUCGAGAGCCAGACUCCCAACAUGACUACUUUCUCAAAAUCGAAGAGAGGGUAAAGGAACAGUACCAUUGCUGGAUAAUUGGAAAGUCCCUGUGUGUCAACCUUUGUGCUUCGUGGCAAGGUAGACUAGCAAACAUGUCCAACCUUUACUCACAUUCGAGACAACACUCCUAACAAGAUUGCUUGCUCCAAAAUCGAAGAGGCACCGCCUUCCGAAUCUCGAGAGCCAGACUCCCAACAUGAUUACUUCCUCAAAAAUCGAAGAGACACUGCUCUCCGAAUCUCGAGAGUCAGACCCCCAGCAUGAUUGCUUUCUCAAAAAUCGAAGAGGCAUCGUUCUCCGAAUCUCGAGAGCCAGAUACCACAGACCACUUUUUCAAAGUGCUCUGACAGAGUUAAAACAUGUGAAACUGGCAGCUCCCACUACCGUGCUAUGACCAAGCAGGGUAAAGGAAUAGCAUUACUACUUGUUGUUAGGGAGACUCCUAUAUAUGUCGACCUCCAUCCCCAACGGACAGGCAGACCUGCAAAAAUGCUCAACCCUUCAUCAUAUCUGAGAGGGCACUCCCAACAAAGCCUUUCGAAAUAUUCAGCUUUUCUUUCCCCCCGAUAAUACCUCUGCAAACAAGCUAUACUAGAGCAAGAAUAUCUCAUAUCAUCAGGGUUAAAAGCAAGAGUAUCCCAUAUCAUGCUUUUUCCCUGUUUUUUCUUUUGGCCUUGUUUUUACCUGACAAAGACAAAGAGAGCAAUCAGUCAGUACUUGGAAUCAAGCUUCCAGCCAGGAACUGACUGCCUGGAACCCCUUACCUGAUUACUUACCUGGCAUUGCUCUCGAGUACUCAUCUUCAUCAUCUUAUGUUUCCAGGGAAGAUUCCGCAUCUGCUUGAGGAACAGAUAGGGCAAGUGCGAAGGAUACAAGGAAGCAUGUGGAGACAAGCGUAACAGCACACGUGCCGAUACAUCCAUUACUCUGUCAAAAGCAAAAGUAUCCCAUAUCAGCAGGGUGGAACGUACUCUAGAUUUGAUGGACUUGUUUUUGACCCUCAAAUUCUCCAGUCGGCCUUAUACUCUGGAGGAAACCAGAAAACCCUCCAGCUCAGUUCAAGAAUAAGCCUGUGGAAAGUUACUUCUUCAAAAGCAAAAGUAUCUCAUAUCAUCUCUUCUCAUUUUUCUUCUCUUUAUCCUUCAUGCUGCUGCAAGAUGGGGAGAAGGUGAACAAUCAGUCGGAGCUCUGAUUGCUUACCUUGUCUGUCACCUCUUUCAGCAGACCCCCUAGCUCGGCGACUUGGGGGACUCCUACUACAUGGUUUGUAUCGCGCUUGACCAAGCCUGAAACUACAAGUAAGCUUCAAGUGAAAUUGAUACAUUACCUUGUGCAUCUCCACCAGUUAAAGAUACCACCCCUGGAUGGAGGAAGAGUACUUCCAGAGAAGAUGCCACAUCUACCUAUGAGACAGAUAAGGCAAGUCAAGACGACACCACACUCCGAUACUUAGAAGUUUCGUGAUUACGAGAUCAUUAUCCCACAAUAUUUCCUAAUGUCAUUUGUACUAAAUCAUUCACUCGUACUCACUAAAGGAGAGCUUGAACCUAUGUACUUGUGUAAACCCUUCACAAUUAAUGAGAACUCUUCUAUUCCGUGGGCGUAGCCAAUCUGGGUGAACCACGUACAUCUUGUGUUUGCUUUCCUAUCUCUAUCCAUUUAUAUACUUAUCCACACUAAUGACCGGAGCAAUCUAGCGAAGAUCACAAAAAGCGACCGUUUUUCGUUACCUAGGAUCUAUCUUGCAAGAGAACGGAGAAUUAGAUGGAGAUCUCAACCAUAGAUAUACGAGCUGGAUGGAAAGAGUGCAUCCGGCGUGUUGUGUGACCGUCGUAGGCCACUGAAGCUCAAGGGAAAAUUUUAUAGGACGGCAAUAAGGCCAGCGAUGUUGUAUGGCAGAGAAUGUUGGGUGGUGAAGCAUCAACACGUACACAAAAUGGGUGUAGCGGAGAUGAGGAUGCUUCGUGGGAUGUGUGGGCACACGAGAAAGGAUAAGAUUGGGAAUGAGGAUAUCCGAGGUAAAGUAGGAGUAGCCGAAAUUGUAGGAAAGAUGAGAGAAAAUCGGCUCUGGUGAUUUGGACAUGUGCAAAGAAGGCCGACUGACGCUCCGGUUCGAAGAUGUGACUACGGGACAGAGGUUCAGGGCCGAAGGGGUAGAGGAAGACCUAGGAAAACUUUGGAAGAGACUCUAAGAAAAGACUUAGAGUACUUGGAUCUAACGGAGGGCAUGACACAAAACCGAGCGCAAUGGCGUUCUAGGAUUCAUAUAGCCGACCCCACUUAGUGGGAAAAGGCUUUGUUGUUGUUGUUGUUGUUGUUGUAAGAUGUUCUUCUACGGAAUAAUUUUAUAUAGUCCUUCAAGACUGUAGAGUUUGAUUGUGAAUUGAAUUUUUACUCCAAAUGUAGCAAGUUCUUUGAUUAAAAAAAAAAUUAUUUUUAUUAUUGAGCAAGGGCGAUGGGAAAAGUGAUAAUCUCCAUCCAAAAAACGAUAAAACAUACUAAAAUGAAAGGUGAAACCUUGCGCUUUCGUUUACCCUUUUUUCAAACCUUAUCGGGUGGACCUCCACCUCCAUCAAAGUUGGACAAUUAACUGUUUCUAUAGACCUAGCUAUCAGUCAACGCAUGAAGCAGAACACAGUCAGCUACACUUCAAAACAUUUGAUCUAUAUACACCAACAAUUUCGUUGAAUGGUAGAAAAAAUUAUAUCAAAGGGUCUUCCCCUUGGCCUUGUGCUUAAGUUAGUAACAAAUUCAACGUACCCCUCUAUUUAUACACAGCAUACAUAUUCUUCUCUAUAUGUAUUGUUCCCAUACUUCGCGUUCUUCUCUAUAUAUAUUUUUCCCAUACUUCGCGUUCUUCUCGUACCUCAAUCGUGUCAAUAUCACUUGGGAACAAAGGACCUUCAACUUGAGGUAAAAAAACAAAGAAACAAGAAGAAAAGUCAAGGCUUCUGUAGCAGGAAAGAAGAGCAGCAGCAGCCAUGACCGUUUCAUCUUCUCUUUCUGUUGCCAAAAAUGGCAGAGUCCUCAUCGCCGGUGCCACCGGUUUCAUCGGGAGGUUCGUAGCUGAAGCCAGCCUCGCAGCCGGUCAACCCACGUAUGUUCUCGUCCGGCCCGGCCCUCUGCACCCUUCUAAGGCUGACACCGUCAAGUCCUUCAAAGACAAAGGCGCAAUAAUCUUACACGUAUGGAAAUAAAUCUCUGUGCAAAAUAUAUCCUUUUUUUUUAUGACUUUACAUGCAUUUAUAAUUUUUGUUCACUUUAUCAUGUUUUAAUAUGUUGUAAUAUUGACUAUUUUCAGGGGCUGAUUUCCGAUAAAACCCUAAUGGAGAAAAUGCUAAGAGAGCAUGAAAUCGAGAUAGUAAUAUCAGCCGUGGGUGGUGCCACAAUAUUGGACCAGAUCACCCUAGUCGACGCCAUUGCGGCAGUUGGUACAGUUAAGGUAAAUAUAUAUUAUAUUUCCGAUGCAAAAAAUAUAUAUUAUAUAUAAAUAUAUCAUAUUAUAUUAUAUUAUAUGCUUUUUGGAAAACAAAACCAUAUAAAAACAUUAUAUAUUUUGUAAUUAAUUUUUCUGCAAAAUUUAUGUUGCAGAGGUUUUUGCCGUCGGAGUUUGGACACGAUGUGGACAGGGCUGAUCCGGUGGAACCAGGGCUCACCAUGUAUUUGGAGAAACGCAAGGUUAGACGUUCCGUCGAGACAUCUGGGGUACCCUACACAUAUAUUUGCUGCAACUCGAUUGCUUCUUGGCCCUACUUUGACAACACCCACCCUUCUGAGGUUCUCCCACCGUUGGAUCGGUUCCAAAUCUACGGUGAUGGCACCGUCAAAGGUAUGAUACACACGCACACAUUUUGUUGGUGAAUUUGCAGCAUUCCAUUAAUUAGGGGUACACGUGUUUUCUUCUAAUGUCAUUCAAGCUUAAAGCAAUGCCAGCUAAAAAGGACAGAUAUUCGUAGGACUCACUUUUGCUUAUAUUAAAAAAUACGUAUUAUUUGAUCCAAAAGAAAUAAAUAAUUUAUUAGCAAUAAUAAAAGUCAUCAAGCAAUUAUUUCUCCAUUAUUUUUACUACCGAAAGUGGAAUGAUUCUUAGAGUAAACACUUUACAACCACCGCAAUUAUAAUGUGAACCAAGUUCUUUCACCAACUAAAGUCUAAGUAGUUUACUUUAGGGAAAUAAUAUCUACAAUUGAUUAAUUAUAAUUGAAAAGAUAACUAUUACGAGCUCGUUUGAAAGUAUUUUUAAAAUGAUUGAUAACACUUUUAAAGAAAUAUUUUGGAUUCUAAAAUCACUUAAAAUGCUUCCUUAAGUGAUUAUUUAAGGUGCUUCCCUAAUUUCAAUCAUUUUAUAAAUUCUUCCAAACAAAUCUUAUAUUCAUUAAGAUAAAAACAAAAAAUGUUAUUUUAAGUCAUUGCAGGUAGCCAAUGGUGAGCAUGUACAAGAUGAAAGAGAAAUUUUAGAAAGUGAUACUUAUCCUAGUUGAUGAGGACAUUUAUUUUUAUUAACCUUAAUUGAAGAAAUGAAUCAUUUUUAUUGAUAUAUGUUAAAAAAAAUGAAAUGACCAUGUACCUACAACAAAUAUAAAAUUAUGUACGACCUGAACCAAUUUUUUUUAUAAAAAACCUAAAAUAUUAUAUGAUUAGGUGUAAGUCACUAUUAUAAUAAGUAUAAAAUACCUCUUGAAAUAAAUAAAAGUUAAUAACAGUUAGAUUGAGGAUAGUUUAUUAACGAACGGACUGUUUUUUCUUUUGUCCUGAUUUGGUGGCAAGAAAACCUUGAGAUGUGUUAUCCACGCUCUUUUUUAUUUUUUAUUCACUUUUUAUUAAUUUCAGUCAUUUGAUCUUCUUCAAUUCAUCCGAUGAUAAAAAAACUUAGAAAGGUGUGUGAAAAGUAAAAAUGGUGUAUGGAUAGCACAUCCCUACUAAAAAAUUGGAAGCAUUUAUGCUCAUCCUAUAACUAUGGGGUAUGCUCUUCAUACAUCUUAUUAUCUGCCAUGUGUACUUUUACUUAACCCUAAUUAUUUUUUUUCCACAUUGAAAAUGAUCUUUUAAUAUGCAAGUUAACCAAAAUUAGAUGAAAGGAUACAAGGCAGAUGAUAAGGUAUAUAGUGAGUAUACAACAUAAUUUAUAGUGGUGCGCAAAAAUGCAUCCCAAAAAAAGAUAAAAUCUCCUAAUUUGAAGGGAGUAUGAUUCUUUUUCCUCCUCAUCUUUCUCCUCUUUUAUUCCUUCCCCUCCUAUUUAAACGGUUAGGAUUAAAGCACACUGAAAUUUAUGGAGAGAAAAAGACGAAAAAAAAGUGUGAGAUGAGGGAAGUAAGAGAUAGAAAAUACAUGUUACAUAAACGGUUAGGAUUUAGCCCAACUUAUGUUUUUGCAAGGGGCUUUUCUCAUAGUGCACAUGUUACUUACAUAUCUAAAUAACAACCGUUAAAUUUAUAUGAACGAACGAGACAAAACUUUACCUUAAGUUACAACCGGGAUACCAAACCUUGAAGUACAGAAUCCGGUAGUUCUCUAUCUUCUCGCUCCGGGCGUCUGUCUCUCUCCUCCCUUCCCUUAGCCAAAACCUCAGUUCCUGUCUAGACCUAGAGCACUGCUGCCAUCACCAACAACUCUUUUGAAUUAGAUGAUGGGUUAAGUGUUUGUGUUGAUAAUUUUGGAGGGAAAUAGAACUUGGUGGAGGUCCUGGGGAGGAGUGGCUUUGGGUGGCUUGAGGGUUUUUGAUAGGUGGAGAGUUGAGUGGUUAACGGAGGCACAGUCGCCAACGGAUUAUAAUCUUUCGGCGGAGGUGUUUGGCCAACGGUGGGGAGAGGUAGGGGAGGUGACCAGGAGAAAGAGGAAGAGGUGGCAACUUUCGGCGCCCGUUCGUUAAGGUUGAUCGGUGGGUUAGAAGUAAAUGGGUAAAUAAAAUGUGCAUGUAGACGUGUGCACUGGGGAAGCAGCCUUUCGGCGAGUUGGAUGGAUGGGCGAAAACAUGGAAUUUUGAAUAUUCUAAGCCGUCCACGUGUAGGGUAGUCCUUUCUCCUCGGCACCGAACUUGUCUGUUGCUGUUAGGCCGUGCCCAACCUCCAGCCCAAAGCUGGGGCCCACUUUAUUCAUCCUCGCUCACCGCAAGUCUGCAACCUAAAGUGGGGCCCACUUUAGUCGGUCCCACAGUUCAUAUACUGUUCAAUAAUAAUAAUAAUAAUAUUAUUAUUAUUAUUUUAUUUUCGGAAGAUUCAAUGUUUCUGUAUCCACUAGUGAAUGUGGGAAAAUGUGUUUGAUGGUAUGUCUGAUGCACCUGCCAUUAAUUACUAAGGUACGAAAGAGAUACCUGCGCAUAUUUUUUGGUAUUUUACUAAUAUUACAACAUACACGUAAGCAUUUUUGUAGUAUUCAAGCUUUCAGCUCGACUUUUGAUGUUAUAUUUUUACUAUGUUACACAAAAUUUACAGC